CCAAAGAAUGGAAAAGAUUCUUCAAGAGUCUCGGGUCCCAGAAGCGCAUGAUAAAUGCCACCGAAGCCUAAGACUGCGGAGGAAAUUAAGUGAAGUACUCCGGAUACAAAGUAAGGAAAAGUAUCUAGAACUUCUCCCCCCGGCCCUACUCCCCAACCUAGAGUAGCUAAGUGCGGAAGUAAAAUCAACCCUUGUUCAUACAUGGGCUUUUCUGGUACGAAAUGGGCCACUUCAAAUAGGUUCAUUGCUCCGGCCCAGAAUACGAUUAAUCCGGCAUGGGCUACAUGAGCUCCAAGUAGUUUACCGGACAAAUUGAUAAGUCUGGCAUUCCCAGCCCACCAAGCAAAGCCAGUGGUUUCUUGGUCACGACCAGCUAAAACGAAAGUUCCAUUAAAGAGCGUUUCCACGUGGUAGAACCUCCUCAGGGAAUAUAAGAUUUUCAUGAGGCUCAAAAAGCCGAGUCUGUCCCUGAUCGCCCUCUCGCCCUGUGCAGAGGCUCGGGGGCUGCUCUCGCAAACCCGGCUCCGGCCGAACCGUUGACAGCGUCAACAUACCAGCCCGAGAACUUGGGACCCGACCGUACCCCCAGGCUAUGGCCAGCUCGCAUGAGGGAACGACCAGACCAGCCGAAGCAUUACGCGAGGCAUUAAGACCUCGAAGGAGUGAAACCACUCCUCCGAGGCCUCGGGGGCUACACCCGGCGGGUGCGCUCGCGCGCACCCACCGGAACAAAACGCAACCGAGAAAGGCUGGUCCCCUUGCAAAAAAGUGCGACGAAAGCCUCCAAGCGAGUGCUAACACUCCCUUCGAGGCUCGGGGGCUACUGUCAGGGACCAUAAUUAGGGGUACCCUCAAGGCUCCUAAUUCUCAGCUGGUAACCCCCAUCAGCAUAAAGCUGCAAAGGCCUGAUGGGUGCGAUUAAGUUAGGGAUCAGUCCAUUCGAGGGACUCGAUCACGCCUCGCCCGAGCCUAGCCUCGAACAAGGGCAGCCGACCCCGGAGGAUUUCCGUCUCGCCCGAGGCCCCCCUCCAGCGGCGAACAUAUUUCCGGCUCGCCCGAGGCCCUGUCUUCGCCAAGAAGCAAGCCUGACCAAAUCGCCGCACCAACCGGCCAAAUCGCAGGGGCAUUUAAUGCAAAGGUGGCCUGACACCUUUAUCCUGACGCGCGCCCCCAGCCAGCAGAGCCGAAGUGACCGCCGUCACUUCGCCGCUCCACUGACCGGCCUGACAGAAGGACAUCGCCGCCUGCGCCACUCCGACUGCGGUGCCACUUGACAGAGUGAGACUGACAGGCAGUCAGGCCCGGCCGAAGGCACCAUAGGAAACUCCGCUCCGCCCGACCCAGGGCUCGGACACGGGCUAAGUCCCGGAAGACGGCGAACUCCGCUCCGCCCGACCCAGGGCUCGGACACGGGCUAGGUCCCAGAAGACGGCGAACUCCGCUCCGCCCGACCCAGGGCUCGGACACGGGCUAAGUCCCGGAAGAUGACGAACCCCGCUUCGCCCGACCCCAGGGCUCGGACUACGCCCUGUUCUCAGCCGACGGUCUCCGCCUCGCCCGACCCAGGGGCUCGGACUCGACCUCGGCCACGGAAGACAGACUCGACCUCGGCUUCGGAGGAGCUUCCACAUCGCCCAACCUAGGGCGCAGACCAGCCACGUCAACAGGAGGCGCCAUCAUCACCCUACCCCGAGCUGACUCGGGCCGCAGGGAACAAGACCGGCGUCCCAUCUGGCUCGCUCCGCCAGAUAGGCAAUGAUGGCGCCCCGCAUACUCUGUGACGACGGCGGCUCUCAGCCCCCUUACGGAAGCAAGAGGACGUCAACAAGGACUCAACCGCUCCGACAGCUAUCCCUCCGCCAGGCUCCAUCGCUCCUCCGACGGCCACGACAUCACACCAGCUGGGCGCCAAGAUCUCUCCGGCUGCCACAACGGCAUGUACUUAGGGCGCUAGCUCUCCUCCGCUAGACACGUAGCACUCUGCUACACCCCCCAUUGUACACCUGGAUCCUCUCCUUACGCCUAUAAAAGGAAGGACCAGGGCCCUCUUAGAGAGGGUUGGCCGCGCGGGGACGAGGACGAGACAUGCGCUCGCUCGAAGCCGCUCGCUCCCUCUCCCGCGUGGACGCUUGUAACCCCCUACUGCAAGCGCACCCGACCUGGGCGCGGGACGAACACGAAGGCCGCGGGAUUCCCACCUCUCUCACGCCGGUCUCCGGCCGCCUCGCUCUCCCCCCUUCGCGCUCGCCCUCGCGCUCGACCCAUCUGGGCUGGGGCACGCGGCAACAUUCACUCGUCGGCUCAGGGACCCCCCGGUCCCGGAACGCCGACACUAUUGUUUAUUUGUUGUAACAGAGAAUUCCAAUCGCGACUUAAUGAGAAAUUGUCCUCGAGGCAGUAUGAAAAUGCCCUUCAAGGAAGACAUGGGAAGCCCAAUUUCAUUAAUUGGUUCCGAGCUCAUGUAAAUAAAUUAAGACUCUUGUUCUACUUUAUUUAUUAUGUUUAAGAAAUCUAAUUUCACUAUCUAAUUGGCAGUGUGAUAAAAUUCCAAAUUUAGACGAGGACUUUCUUCAGAUGUCUUACGCAAUCAUAAAAGUCAGAAGUUACUAUUGUUAUGACAUUAAGGGGUUUCAUUUUUGUUCGACCAAAUGUGAGUCUACUCGUUCAUUUGCAGCAACAAGACAUACUGGAGUUAUAUGUAGGGCAGUCAAUGAUCGUGGAAGAGAGAUGAAUUAUUAUGGAGUUAUUAAUGACAUACUCGAGUACGACUUGCUGGUAGCAAAAAUCUUAAGGUGGUGUUUUCAAAUAUGAUUGGUUUGAUCCUAAUCAAGGGACUGUAGAAAACCAAUUUGGCAUGGUAGAAGUCAAACAUGAGCUCAAAACAAAUGCAUGUAGCAAAUUUGUUCUUGCUCACCAAGUUGACCAGGUGUAGUACAUACCGUAUCCAUGUACAAAGCUGGAAGCCACAUGGGUACUGUACAAAGUUAAUCCUCGUGAAUGGUUACACAACAAGGGUCAAUGGUUCGAGGAAGAAGUUGAAGAAAUUUACCAAGAAGAUGAACUCCUGACCAAUUUUAAUAUAGAUACUGAGGUUUUGCCAGAAUCCUUAGUGGGAGAUUCUGAAGAUGUAGUAAGUCCUAAAAAGGAAACAUAAGUCAAAGAAGAAAACAUUGAAUCGAAGGAAACAAUUUGAUCCUUAUUUCAAAUAAGACUGAAAAGUAAUCAUGUAUUAAUUAUUCUUUUCAAUACAUUAUGUUCAUUUACUUUAUGUUCAUUUACAUUAUGCUCAUUUACUAAUUUGAUUUUGUUCUAAUAACAGGAUGUCUAAAAAGGUGAAGCAGUUCACUAAGGGACUUGCGAAGAGAGCGUCCUUUGUUAUGAGAAAGGAGGACUUAGUGUUUAAGGGCAUUUGUUCCAGCUCGAGUAGGCGUAGAGCUUUGUUGGAGCAUGUUCUAGAGUUGCAGGGUCAGACAGUCGGCGUUCAGAGGAAUGAGGUAACCAUUAUUUGUUUUGCAAUGUAAUGUUUGUAUGAGUUCGUAUAACUAAAUUAUUAAUGUAAUAUUUGUUUUGCAAUGCAAUGUAAUGUUUGUAGGAUGAGUAUGAAGAUGAGGUAGAGACAGAGGAGGGGAGAUAGGUGGGAGAUGUUGAAGAUGAGGUAGAGACAGAAAAGGGGAGAUAGGUGGGAGAUGUUAAAGAUGAGGUAGAGACAGAGGAGGCGGAGACAGGGUGGGGAUGCCAUGAUACUGGUGGUUUGGGACAUGAUAGCCAUAGUGGAUGUCGUGAAUGGCCUGAGGAUGCAAGUGGAUGGCCAAGAGAUGGAGGGUCAGGAGUUGGGGGAGCUAGUGGGUAAAGGGAAGGAGAAGCUAGUGGUUUUGGAAGCGAGGGAGUUGGAGGGUCUUCACGGGUCCAGAAGCCGCAGAGAACUAGUUGGGUCCCCCUCCUAAAGAACCAGUUGAUAGGGUUGAGAUAAUACUAACUGGAGAUGGGUAAGAGUAUCCUUGCUUCAUUCUUAUGUCUUACACUAUUACACGAUUACAUUUUGAAUUUGAAAAUUGUUCUUGUGCUGUUAGGGCUUGGGUGGAUAGUAGUUUCACCAGCACAGGUUGUCAAAGGCAAUAAAGAAAGUGUUGGGCAAUAUAUGUCGUAUGGAAUGGCCUGGAUUGGUGAUAGAGGAUGGUAAGGAGGUCCCUGUCACAAGAUGGGAUCAAUAUGCCCUUGCAAUAAAUGCACAACAUGGGAAUGCGCAAGCUGCAGUUUGGCAUGACUUCUGGGUAUGUUAGAAUUUUUUGUUAAGUUGUAAUCUUGAUGAUUGUUUCACAUUAUGGAUUUUGACUAUGCUUCUUUUUUUAGAAACAUUACAAGUUGCCUGAAGGAGAUACUCAUAGGGAACACGCACACUCCAUGUUCCAUAGGUAUGUGGCAAGUGUUGUUGGGGAUAUGAUGUACUAUGCUUGAAUCCAGGUGAUUAGUCAAGCUAUGUUGGGUAGUGAAGGGCGACGUCCAGAGAGUAAGAACGAGGCGACACAGUAUGGACUCAAUAUAACUGAGAAACAAUAUCUUGAGGUAAUUGAUGUUUUUGCUUGUGUUGAAAAAAAUUUCCAUUGCUUCUAGAUAUUACAGUUACUUAUAAACGAAUUGUGUUCAUGCAUCAUUCAAUUCCAUGGAUAGCCGCCAAUGAUGCUACUUGGCGUGCGUUAUGCCGUUACUGGGCUUCGGCUGGAUUCAAGGCAAAGUCUGUGUGACACAGUUCCAAUCGUGGAACCGAGUCAUAUCACAGGUAUGGAGGUGAUGAUCACUUUCGUUUGGCAAAAUGAAUGGUAAGUACAAUUUAAUCCAUUUUCGUUGAUUGUAGUUGACUUGCUGUAAUUUCUGGUUAUAAUGCUUGUCAAAUGUACAUACAGGAAGCUAGCAUUGGUGUAGUGCCCAGUGAUGUUCAAAUAUACCUUAGGGGGCACAGAGGACCAGAUCCUGCAAAUCCAGAUGUGUUGUGCAGCCAAAAGGCAACAGAUCGUGUGGUGAGUGUUUUGAAAUGUUUGGUAGGUUCUGUUUAUAUGGAAUCUUGUAUGUAAGAUUGCAUUGUUCUUUUGUAUGAGGCUGCAUAUGGCGAGGCGAUGUCUAGUCAUCACGGACCAGACUAUGACUGGAGGACCUCACCUAUUGAUCCUCAGGUUGUGUAUGCAAGUGGUGGAAAAGCUCAUGGAAGGUGCGGACUCUACAUAUCUUAUAUUGUUUCAUUGGUUGAGUGCAAUACAUGUAUUCUUAAUUUGUCGUGAUGUUACUUGUUUUGUAGGUACACAAUGUUUGCUAACUUCAUCGACUCGAUCCAGGUGAGGGUUCAGCGUGGAGGUUCGUCGAGGUCUGCUGCUCAUAGCUCCCGUCGCUCCACUCAAGAUCCAGCAGAAGUGGAGCAACUGCGAGAAGAACUUAGGCGACAUCAGGAUUACUUGAAGCAACAAGCUGCAUGUCAUGAAUAUUAUGCUACACAGAUUCAACAACAGCAAACAGUCAUACAAGUAAGUUCAAAAGAUAAUAGCUUUCACUUUAAGAUAUGUAUUGAUUUAAAACGCUGAUGUGAAUGAGUUCAACAAAUUUGUAGCAACUAGCACAGGCCCAAGGGAUACACGUCCCGGUGCCCCCACUACCACCACCACGCCCCGUUCAUUAUCCUUGGUCUUCACCUCCACCUACACCUACAUCUCCACCUACCAAACAUCAGGUAUGCAAAUUCAUCACCAUUUACUUGUUGUUAGUUAUAUUAUGAUGUAACUCAGCAAAUAUCAUUUGUACAUAUAUAUUAGACCCCUCCAGCUACGUUGACGACGCAUGAACGAGAAGACGGGUUAGACUUUGUCGAAACCCUCUUCGCUAGUGGAGGUAUCGACCAUCACUCGUCACUGUAACCCGAUGGUGAUCAGCGACCGUGAGCUUCCAUGUUAUUGUGUUAUGAUACUUGAGACUUUUAUUAUGACUAUGUAUGAGAUAUUGUCUCUUAUUAGUACUAGGUGAGAUGUGUCUUAUUAUGACUAUGGAUGAGACUUUUGUGAUGUAAUUGAUGAGACUAUGGGUUUAAAUAUUGUUACAUGAUUGUGUGUGAUAUGUUUUAUGUGAAAAUAUGUUGUGCUUUAUAGCUGUUGAUAUAUUUGUUAUGUUGUGGAAUGUGGUGUAAAAUAAAAAAACAAUAUUUGUAAUGUUGGUCAAAUUAACUUCCUAGAGGCCAAUUGGGCCGUAGGAAGUUAGCCACCUAACUUCCUAGGGGCUACAGUCAACCAUAGGAAGUUAGCCAGCUAACUUCCUAGGGGCUACAGUCAGCCGUAGAAAGUUAGUCGUAGGAAGUUAGUCAGCUGACAGCGUGAAGCUACUAACUUCCGAGAGGCUUCUUUGGCUAUAGGAAGUUAGCUAACUUCCUAGAGGGCUCUAAGAAGUUAAGCUAACUUCCGACAAAAAAAUUUCGAGAUCCAAACUUCCGAUGGGAUGGCUUUACUUCUGAGAGUUUAGCUAACUUCCUAGAGUUUAGGGCUAACUUCCUAGGGUUUAGGCUCUAGGAAGUUCACUAUUUUGGUGUAGUGUUUCUAACCCAGAUGGUCAAUACCAGGAAGGGAGGCAGAAUCGAUCUACCUGCCAAUCCCCCAGAACCAGAGGAUUGUUAGACAACAGCAAGCAGAGAUGAAUCCUCCAAAUCCUCCAUCGGCUGGGACUGAACCAGUGGUUGCAGCCUAGAUGUAGAUGCUGCAACAAAUGGCCAUUACUAUGACGGAAAUAUAAGCUCAGAUGCAGCAGGAACGUCAAGAGAUGCGCCAGGAAAGGCAAGAGAUGAGGGAGGAAUUGUGUCAAGAGAGAAUGGUGCGACAGCAGCAAGCACCAAUACCUCCUCCACCACCACCAGUUCCACCUCGGGACAAGCACCGGGAGUUUAUGAGCCACAAGUCACCCACCUUCACCAGCUCUCUGGAUCCAUUACAUGCGGAUGAUUGGUUAAAGUCAGUGGAGAAGAUGUUAAAUAUUGCUCAAUGCUCUGACCGGAAGAAGGUGCUUUAUGCUUCUGGUCGUCUUACUGGACCUGCUGCUGAUUGGUGGGAUUCGUAUACUGCUGCCCAUGAUGCUGCCAACACUAUUACUUGGGCAGAAUUCACUACACAUUUUAGAAAUUACCACAUUCCUGCUGGACUGAUGAAGACUAAGAAGAAAGAAUUUCUGUCACUAAAAUAGGGCAAUAUGUCAGUCAGCGAAUACCGUGACAAAUUCAUUCAGCUUUCAUGGUAUGCUCCAAAUGAAGUUGCAAAUGAUGAGAGAAAACAUGAGCACUUUAUAGAGGGACUUAAUGGACCACUACAGUAUGCACUGGUUGCUCACACCUUUCCAUCAUUUCAGAGGCUUUUAGACAAAGCUCUAGCUAUUGAACACAAGCAUGUUUAACUGGGAGAAAUGAAGAGGAAGGCCAUUACCCAGGGGUAGGGCAGCAGCAGUAUUCGUCCUCGCUAUGUUCCACCCUAGGGUACACCAGCUCGUCCUAGAGGAGGACUAUGCCUAGCUCAGCACGCUCCACAAGGGACUCCAUAGACACCCCACACUCGUCAGGCUGCCCCCACUAGCAUCCCAGCAAGGUUUGCAUGACAGAGAACAGGCCCACAUGCUUCAAGUGCAGUCAGGUUGGGCACUAUGCAAAUGCUUGUCCGAUGGGGAAUUCUAGCACACCCACUCAGAACAAGCAACAGACUCCAACCUCUGGCAAGGGAUUCAGCAUUGCCAGGGUCAACCAAGUAAGUGUCGAGGCUACUGCUGAUGGAGCUGACAUCGCUAUCGGUAUGUUUUACAUUAAUUCAAUUCCAGCAGCCAUAUUAUUUGAUUAUGGAGUUACGCAUUCAUUUAUUUCUGCUCAUUAUGCCAUCACCAAUGAACUAGCACUUCAAACUAUGCAAAAACCACUGGUAGUAAUUACCCCUAAAGGGCCAUGUUGAAGCAAACUAUAUGACACACAGAUUAACACUGACAAUUAUGGGAAGGGAAUUCUGGUCUACACCUAUAGUAUUAGAGUAAAGAAGUAUAGAUUUGAUACUCGGGAUGUCCUGGUUAAGGAAAGCAAAGGCAGUUAUACACUUUGAUAAGGGAACCGUAGAACUCACCAGUUCCAAAUGAGAAAGGUUUGAAGUCGAGAUUACCAUAACCGCCUCUACCAGACCCGCCAUAUAUCUAGUAGAUGGAACAUUUGUGGGUAGAAACAUCUGUGUGGUUAGAGACUUUCCAGAUGUCUUUCCUGAAGAGUUACCCGGAAUGCUACCACAUAGGGAAGUUGAAUUUGUCAUUGACCUCUUACCUGGUACCGCUCCCAUUUCAAAAAGGCCAUAUAGGAUGUUAGUGGAAGAAUUAAAAGAACUUAAUAAAAAUUAACGAAGUUGCAAGAAGCAGGGUACAUUCGUCCGAGUUCCUCACCUUGGGGAGCACCGGUUCUGUUUGUACAGAAGAAGGAUGGUUCUCAAAGGAUGUGUGUGGAUUAUAGAUCAAUUAAUGAUGUCACCAUUAAGAACAAGUACCCUUUACCUCGUAUUGAAGAUUUAUUUGAUCAGAUGAGAGGUGCUAGGGUGUUCUCUAAGAUUGACCUUAGGUCGGGUUAUCACCAAAUGAAGAUUAGGCCAUCUGAUAUUCCCAAGAUGGUUUUCUCUACCCGAUAUGGUCUAUAUGAGUUCAUAGCCAUGUCGUUUGGCUUAACUAAUGCACCAGCCUACUUCAUGAAUCUAAUGAACAAGGUGUUGAUGGAGUAUCUUGAUAGAUUUGUCAUGGUAUUCAUCGACGACAUUCUCAUUUAUUCCAAGAAUGAUAGUGAUCAUGAGGAACAUCUGCGGGUGGUGCUACAUAAGCUACGGGAUAAUCAACUCUAUGCCAAAUUUAGCAUGUGUGAGUUCUGGCUUGAUGAAGUACCAUUCCUUGGGCACAUCAUCUCCAAAGGUGGAAUCUCAGUGGAUCCAACUAAAGUAAAGGACAUAGUGGGUUGGAAGAUACCAAAAACAGUCGCUGGGGUUCGGAGUUUCUUGGGACUCGUGGGUUAUUACCGAUGAUUAAUUAAAGGAUUUUCUAAGAUAGCGAAGCCUAUGACCUCAUUGUUAGAGAAGGGAAAGGAUUUUAAUUGGUCUUGGGAAUGCCAAGAGAGUUUCAAUCAAUUAAGGUUUAAGUUGAUGUCACCCCUAGUGUUGAUUAUGCUAGACCUACAUAAGGGAUUUGACAUAUAUUGUGAUGUGUGCCACCAGGGCUUGGGAUGUGUGCUUAUGCAAGAAGGACAUGUCAUCGCCUAUGCGUCUCGCCAGUUACGGAAACAUAAGUUGAACUACCACACUCAUGACUUAGAACUAGUAGCCGUAGUGCUUGCUCUCAAGAUUUGGAGGCAUUAUAUUAUGGGGACUAAGUGCCAAGUCUACACUGAUCACAAGAGCUUAAAAUAUAUCUUCACUCAGAAGGAUCUUAACCUUAGGCAACGCUGUUGGCUAGAGCUCAUCAAAGAUUAUGACUUGGAAAUUAAGUAUCAUCCGAGCAAGGCGAAUCUGGUUGCGGAUGCCUUGAGUCGAAAGGAGCAUGUCCAUGCAGCUAUUGUCUCCCAGUUACCCGAUGAAUUAGCAAAAGACUUUGAGAAACUCAAUCUGGGGAUAGUUGCUCAUACAGAAGGAAUUACCAUAGAAGUAGAACCUACCUUAGAACAAGAAAUAUGAAAGGGUCAGAUCGGCGAUGUCAAAAUUCAAGAGAUCAAAGAUCUGAUAACAGAAGGUAGAGGCCCAGACUUCACAGAAUAUGAACAGGGCACGAUAUGGUUCAAGAACCGGAUUUGAGUUCCUGAGAUCGACAGUCUUUGUGAAACCAUACUGAAGAAAGCACAUGACUCAGCUUACUCCAUCCAUCCGGGCAGUACCAAGAUGUACCAGAACUUGAAGCAGAAGUAUUAGUGGUAUGGACUAAAGAAGGAUGUUGCUUCACAUGUAGCACUAUCUGAUGUUUGCCAGAGGGUGAAAGCUGAACAUCAAAGGCCUACCAAUUUGCUGCACCCGCUUAAGAUACUUGAGUGGAAGUGGGAAGAGAUUGGAAUGGACUUCAUUGUGGGUCUACCCCGCACAUCUACUGGGUAUGACUCUAUAUGGGUGAUUGUGGACAGGCUAACUAAAGUAGCCCACUUUAUCCGAGUGAAGACCACAUAUUCAGGAGCCAGGCUAGCAGAGUUGUACAUGGCACGAAUAGUUUGUCUACAUAGAGUGCCAACGAAGAUCGUAUCAGACCGGGGACCACAAUUUACUUCUCAGUUUUGGCAGAAGUUGCACAAGUGCUUGGACACACAGUUGAAUUCAGCUCGGCCUACCAUCCUCAAACUGAUGGGCAGACCGAGAGAAUCAACCAAGUAUUGGAGGAUAUGUUAAGAGCUUGCGCUCUUAAACAUGGUGGCAGUUGGGAUAAUAGUUUACCAUAUGCGGAGUUCUCUUACAAUAAUAGCUACCAGGCCAGUUUGAAAAUGUCUCUAUUUGAAGCUCUAUAGGGCAGAAAAUGCAAGACUCCUCUAUAUUGGGAUCAAACUGGUGAAAGGCAGUUCUUUGGGCUAGAAAUUAUACAAGAGGCAGAAGAACAAGUACGAUUGAUAAGAGAGAACUUGAGAACUGCGCAGUCAAGACAGAAAAGCUAUGCAGAUACCCGGAGAAGACUGCUAGAGUUUAAGUAGGGUGAUCACGUGUAUCUAAAGGUGUCACCAAUCUAGGGUAUGAGGAGAUUUAAAGUCAAAGGGAAGUUCUCCCCUUGCUUUAUUGGACCAUUUUGAUCCUAAAGCGAGUGGGGGAAGUUGCCUAUCAACUGGAACUACUUGACCACCUUGCGGAUGUACAUGGUGUCUUCCAUGUGUCUCAAUUGAAGAAGUGUCUCAGGGUACCCGAAGAGCAGCUACCUAUGGAGGAUCUUAGUGUUCAAGAUGAUCUGACUUAUACUGAGUAUCAUAUCAAGAUCCUUGAUACAUUGACUCGUUUCACGAGGAGUAAGGUGAUAAAAAUGUCCAAAGUGCAAUGGAGUCAUCAUGGAUAAGAUGAAGCUACCUGGGAAAGAGAAGAAGAGCUACGAGUAGAUUUUCCCCACCUCUUCCAUAGUCCUUCCUAAUCUCGAGGAAGAGAUUCUUUUUAAGGGGGGUAGGAUUUGUAAUACCCAGUUUGAAUAUAAUAGGAAAAGAGUUGAUGUCAGUAUAUGAUUUGUCAGCUACAUAAAAGAACCUGGGAAUAACCAUAUUUAAGUGAACAAUUACCUAAUAAAAUACUCUAUGCAUCAUGUUGGAGUUUUGUUUGUUUGUGCAUUUAAUAAUAGUAACAAUAAUAUUAAUAAAAAUAUAAUAAUGAUUUGAGAUGUGGAUUGAACCCCAAAUUGAAAUUAGGGUUCGAAAAUAGAGAAGGAAAGAGUGAAAUGCUAUACAAUACAAAAUAAAUUUAUAAAUAAAUGACUUCAUCACAUUUUGGUAUGAUCAAAUUAAACAUUUAGUCUAAGUACAAAUUUGCCAUAAAAUUUGAAAUUUAAAUCUGAAUUGGAGUUUUGAAUUAGGGAAGAAAGAAAAGAAAAUAGAAAAAAAAUAAGAAAUUAAAGAAAAAGAGAAAAACUGAUUCGGCCCAAUGCUCUUUUCUUCCCCGCGCUGCCCAAACUCCACAAUUUCUACGCAUCAAUCAACACGAAAGUCAACUUCGCAUUCGUUUACCACCCCUAGUCUAACAGAGCCGUUGAAAUAGCGAACGACAAAAUAUUCAUGGCAAUCAAGAAGAGACUGCUAGAUGACACGAAGGGGAAAUAGCUCGAUUAGUUGCCCGAGGUCAUGUGGGGGCCUGAACACAACAGAAACAAGAUGCGCAUGUUUCACACCAUUCAAAUUGAUGUACGACGCCAAGGCGAUGACACCUUAAGAGCUAAAGUUUAAGUCCCCCAGGGUAGAGGAGCAUUCCAUUCUAAAGGCAGAUGAGACAGCAACAAAAGACCUACUCGAAGUCUACAUGGUCGAUGCCCUCGACACAAUCACCAAGUAUCAGGAGGCGACACAAACAUGGAGAGACAAGCCCAUCAAAGCCAAGGAAUUUGACGAAGGCGACUUGGUCCUCUUGCAAACACGGAGGACUCAGUGAAAAGGAAAACUCGAGCCCAAAUGGGAGGGGCAUUACAUCGUCACUAAGAAGAUUUCGCCAUAUGCCUAUAGGCUAACUAGCCAAACCGGCGUAUAGCUGGAGCAUGGGUAACUUACACAAAUUUUAUGUAUAAAAAUGACUUAAGUUGAAAGGGCCCUCAAAGAUGCCCAUGUAAUUUUCAAAAACUUUGAACAACAUUCGGGCCCAUACUCUUUUCCUCACGAAGGGGUGAGGUUUUUAAUGAGGCGGAGCCUUGUAAUAAAGCAACAAAAAUCCCCCUAUGCAAGUCCCACGGUCGAAACAGCUCACUCGAGGUGAACAUUCGACCAUAAAGACAGUCACCGUCGCAGCGAGUAAAACCUCGCUAAUGGCGUGCGACAACGAAGACACCUAAGGGUGCAAAGACGCCUAAAGGUGUAGCCAGAUGAAAACAAAAUCCUGGUGAAAGACACAUAAGGGUGCAAAGACGUCUAAGGGCAUAACUAGAUUAAAACAAAAUAUUGGCGAAAGACACCUAAAGGGCAAAAAUGCCUAAGGGCAUAGUGUUGAUCCUUGUUCUCAAAUGCUUCAAGAACAAGACAACAUAAUUGUUAAUGAUUAAAGGCCUUCGUCCUUUGAAGCAUUAUCUCCUUUUGGAUAUAAUGAUCUUCAGACGAAGGUCAUGAAGGGCAUACCUUCAUCAUCUCAGUGAACAAAUAUAAAUAAGGAUAUAUAAAAUACAAAAGAAUAUAAAUAAUGAUCAUAUAACAGCAAUCUAUUUAUAUUCUUCUUUUAUAGACAUGGAAAAAGCAUUAACAAUAUUUAAAUUACAUUGAUACCUUCGGCUUGCCAGAAGGUGAAGAUGUGAAAAUGAUGUAAGAGUGAUUACCAUCCAACAUGAACAGUACGAGGGUACUGUUCAUCUAUUUAUAGGUACUGGAUACAACCUGAACAAAAUUACAUUCAUGUCCCUAACAUUUAAUUGUAAUUAUAAUACAAACUACUAAGGACUAGAUAGACUUUUCCUCCUUAAGUUGGUAUCAUCCUUCGUCUUCGUCGCAAUACUAAGCCGAAGCUCCUUCAGUCAUAGCUUUGGCUUCUAUCAACAUCAUCUUCGGGUUGUAUCUUCAUGUUGCACCUGCCUUCGUAUUGUCUUGCCGAAGGUGUUUUUGCCUUGAGAACCUUCGAUGGAGAAGAAGACCCCUAACAGUAGCCCCUUCGCGGUGCUAGAUCGUUUUUCAUAACGAGCUCGGUCUGCAAAAACACGAAGGCUUCGGAAUGUAGAAGGUCCGAAAAACACCUUCCCUGAGCUCAUUGCUGAGAAAUGAUUAUAAUAUUCCGGACACCGUGAGCGGUAUGGCGGUUCGCCUUUUCCCCUACAACACUAUAUAAACAGACGGGUUGGUGAGGAGUUACCACAUCAUUCAUUGUCAUCGCACUGUUGUGCUGUUAAAAAUUUUAACCAUAGCCGAAGCUUUCUGUACUGCUUUUUCGAUCAAGUGCUUCGUCAUUUGAAAUCAGUUUCGUCUUAAGGAAGCGUAAACAUUGAAAUGGCCAAAGUAUGAUCCAGUGCUAGGGUGUCUCAUGAGGGUGAUGAGGCCGAAGUGACCGAAACAACGCCAAUAUCAGAAGUGAUGAGGCGAUCGGGUCUUGUUGUGCCAGAGGGGCUGUUGCCGAAGGUACUUCUGUUGCCGAAGCUAAACAGAUCGUAGCUGAAGGAGGAAGUGAGAACGAAUAUGAAGAUGAUAACACUAUUUUGAAUCCAACGAAACCCAACCAUAUUGAAUUUGGUAAAUCUACUGUGACAACAAAUGACAUGGUUAUGAUGAAGAAAUUGGGCUACUUUGGGGAGGCCGAGAGCAAGCUUGUCCAGUUUGCCGGGGAAGAGGUGAUUCUAGAGCCAAAAGAUGAUGAAGUCGUAGUCUUUAAGAGCUUCUUCAGGGCAGGACUUCGCUUCCCCCUACAUGAGAUGAUUGGAGAGGUAUUAAAAAAUUUUGAGAUAUACUUUCAUCAGCUGACACCCAAUGCAAUCGUUAGACUUAGUGUCUAUAUAUGGGCUCUCCGAAGCCAGGGUAUGAGUCCCAAUGCCGAAGCUUUCUGCCGGGUGCACGAGCUGCACUAUCAAACGAAGACCAGAGCAGAUGGUCUUCAUAAGAACUUUGGCUGCUACAACUUUGCGUAUCGUAAGGAUACGAAGGCCCUAGUUCUCGGCUACCGUACGAAGUGGCCGACCGGUUAGACAAGCGAGUGGUUUUACAUAAAGGCAGACAAGAAGAGAAGAGAGAAGCUAAUGACUAUGGUAAUGAGUCCAUUGAGAUUGAGCUUCGGGAUGACAAGGCCCUUGUGCCACAUGCAGCUUGGCUCCCCAUGCCAGGUAGCCGAAGUAGAGUUUAGAGUGGUAGCAGCAGAAAUCAGCACUAGAGAUCUAGUGCAAGAGUACUUGGCAAAUAGAAUAUUUGUGACCUCUAGUGGCUGGGGAAUGCCUAAGAAAAAGGAGGGGGCAAAAAGUACAAACUUGUUCGGCUUCCUUACCGAUUUAAAUUUGAGAAACAAUUCAAGAAGCCAUGCAAAGAGUGUCUAGAAAUGAUCGAGACAAUGUGCAAUGAAUUCUUGGCAACUACACCAAGAAAGAGGACCAAUUAAUGACUGCAGCCUUCGGCACCCGGCCAAAACGAAGGCUGAAUCGGGUGAUGGACGCGUUAAACUUCGAAUACCCAGACUACGAAAGACUUGAAAAAGGGGCCGAAGGGGUGAAAAGGAAAAGGGUUGUUAGCAUCCUGAGUCGGCAAGCUACUCGGCUAGUGAAGGAAGAUCAAAAAGUUUUGAAGAAGAUAAAAACAUCUCCUAAGCCGAAGGCAACAAUCUCUAAAAGCAAAAACUUGACACAGCGCCCUCUGCUGAGCCGAAGGUGGACGAAUCAGGAGAAGAAGCUCCUUUAACGCCCUCUGCUGCCGAAGUAGCAGAAAUUUUGAAGGUAAUGACUGAUUCUCCACACUUCAAGCUGCUAAGUCCUCUGGGACCAGAACUGACGAAAUUUUUACUGAAGGAACAACCUUCGGCUGGGGAGGAGAAGAUUAAAGGGCAAAAGAAACGAAGAAUUGUAAAUGUGAUGCAAGUCGUUGAGCAAACACCACCUUCGGCUUCGGCGGCAAAAGUAGCAAUUCCUGAAGAUGCCGAAGAUGCUCACAAAGCCGAAGCUGAGAACUCGCAACCACAAUGUCGGAAAUCGACAGGCUUAUAUCAGGUGUGGUUGCGGAGGAGAUAGGUGUGGCUGUGAAAGAAAGCAUGGCUACAAUGCCUAAUAAAGGGAAGAAAGUUAUUGAUACUCCUCUAAGAGAGAAAGAUUUUGACCUUUGGCACCUAGGUGGCCAUGAACUGUCCAAGGAAGACAAGGAAGAGUAGAAAGAAUAUGCAAUAUCUUGCGGUUAUCAGCCGGGAUCUUUGCUCUUUGGCGGGGUUGAUGAAGAAAUUCUAGGAUGUAUGCGCGACCGCGCCGGGGCAAAGAUAAUUGGCACCCUUUCUAAAGUGUCGGUUUUCCGAAGCUGGAGACCGACAUCAGUGGUUACCGAUGACAACAUAUUGUCGGUAGCCUAUUUUAUUCCAAUUUCAAGGUGAAAUCUUUGUCUAGGUCUUUGUUACCUUCGUGAUGGAUUAAGACGUUCUAACUUUAACUUGUUUUUGCAGAGUAUGUUGCUAAGCAAAGCGAUGAAAAUGCAGCAGGAUAACAAAGAUAAGAAAAACGAGAUUAUAAUUGACGGCUUGGAGAAUAAGAUAAAGAAUCUUGAAGCUUCUGUGGAGGAGAAAGAUUUUCUGCUGCGAGCAGCCGAAGGUUCCCUUGCGGAAGUAUAGUCUCAAAAUAUUAAAUUAAGCGAGGAACUUGACAAUGCUCAAACAAUUUUAAAGAAAGAAUUAGAGCGCUUCAAGCAGGAAACAAAAGAACUGCAAGCAAAAGUUGAAGCCGAAGCUAAGAAAAAUACGAAGCUGUGGGAGUCAUUGAUAGACCUUCGGAAUAAGUGCACGGACUUCGCCACCCGCUGUGCGAACUGACUAAAAGGAAUAUUCAACUCGGUUGGGGCUAGUUCUGAAGAGAUUGUUCCUUCGGCUGAAGAUAUACCCAAAGCCUUCGAGCAUAUUGAAAAUGAAGUUGAAGCACUCGAUGAAGUUAUAACUGGGCACGGGGAUUUCUGUGCUCUGUUAGCUUCUCAUGGCACAACUGCUGUAUUUUUGAAGGCCGGAUGUACUCAUGCCAAAACAGUUAACAAGCCAACCUUCGGCCUCUCAUCAUCAGACUUAGUUGAUAUUCCUGGUGAAGCUCGAAGCAUUGGAAACAGAUUUAUCACUCAAAUUUGGUCUAAGGGCGGGCACGAGCUGGCUGGCGACGAAGCUCGGAAACUGCUCGAUUCAGUAUGAAACUUUUACCUGUCUUUUACCUUGGUUUUUCUUUAUUAUAUUUGCGAUUACCUUAUACCGUCAUCUGUCUGCAGGAUGGUGGCGCCGAAGGUCACUGAGCCGAAGCUUAUUCCGAAGGGCUGAAGACUCUUAGAGCUUCUUUUUGUAAUUACCUUUCGAAAACUUGGGAUCUCUUUGUAUUAUUUGGCAAAAGAUUGUAAUUGAGAGUUGAACACAACAUUGUACAUAUUUGUCCAUACCUUGUAAUAUAAUUUUACCUCUUCGUCCAUGUGUGAAUUGCUUUGCUGUGGACGAAACCCACACUUACAAUUUUUUAGCCGAAAGUGAAAAACACCUUCCCUUCUUUUCGCUCACAACAAAGCAUUUUUCAUUGUAAACAGAGUGCCUUCAUAAACGUCUCAUCUGAGAUGAAGUGUCUUUGUAUUCAACGAAGCAUUUUAUCUCCAAAGACAAUCAUCUUUUUUCUUUCCUUUUAAAGUCUGUGCUUCAUGUCAUGAUAAUGAUGAUCCUACGAAUGUCUAAUGAAUGUUUGUAUGAAUGAAAAGAAUGAUGUGAUGGAAUAUGCAAAUGUAUGACCCGAACACACACGAAACCACAUCCAGACUCUACAUCCCCUUAGGAAUGACUUUUGAGUCUCUUCACCUUCUAUUUUAGUGGCAUUUAAGCUCUGCAUCCCCUUAGAACGACUUUUGAGCUUCUUCACCUUCUAUUUCUGUGGUAUUUAAGCUCUGCAUCCCCUUAGGAACGACUUUUGAGCUUCUUCACCUUUUAUUUCGGUGGCAUUUUGCCUCUGCAUUCCCUUAGGAACGACUUUUGACCUUCGGAACUUACUCUAUGCUCCCUUGGGAACGACUUUUUGUAGCUUCGUCACCCUCCAGGUGACCCUUUAGCUCUGCAUCACCUUAGGGACGACUUUUGAGCUUCUCCCUGUUCUUUUUGCACUCAAGUGCGAAUUCUGAUGUUACAUGUUACAUUCUUGGGGCAAUUUGGCCCUUGUAUUGCAUAGGGCUAAACAAAAAAUGAAAAUUACAACCUAUGGCCCCAUUAAAAACCUUUCUCCCCUCCUAAAAGGAAAAGGAUGCCAAAGGGAAAAAUAAGAAAAUUACAUCAAUUACACAUAAUAUCGCCGAAGCUCAUCCGCAUUCUAAGACCUGGGUAUGUCGUUGUUGUCCAUAUCCUUCAGUCUGUAAGAACCGGGUCUUGACGAAGAUACGAUCAAAAAAGGGCCUUGCCAUUUUAGCUGAAGCUUCCCCACUGUAUCAGGUUAGCUAUCCUUCGAAGCACCAAAUGACCUGGCCUGAUAUUUUUCAAUCGAACUUUUCUGUCACACCAUUUUAUUGUUUCGGCUUGGUAUUUAUUGAUGUGCUCUAUGGCCUGAAGUCUGGUCCCUUCUAUGAUGUCUUUUGUUACUUGGCAAUUGGCUUCGUCCUCCGUCGAAGCUAAGGUUCUUAUUGAACCCAUUCUUGCUUCUUUCGGUGUUAUUGCUUCGUUGCCGAAUAGAAUCUUGAAUGGAGUAAAUCCUGUUGACCUUGAUGCAGUGGUGUUAUGUCUCCAAACCACUUUUAUUAAUUCAUCUGGCCACUUCCCUUUCGAUUGAUUGAAGAUUGACUUCAUUAUUCCUGUUAUUAUGAUUUCAUUUGCCCUUUCUACCAACCCAUUUGACUCCAGGUGCCUCACUAAUGCAAAGUGUAUUUUUGUGCCAAUUUGGCUACAAAAAGUUUUGAAAGUUUCAGCAUCAAAUUGAGUUCCGUUAUCAAUGGUGAUAGCAUUUGGUAUGCCAAAGCGACAAACUAUAUUUUGCUAGAAGAAUUUUUGCACUGUGGCUGAAGUUAUUGUAGCCAAAGGCUUUGCUACAAUCCACUUAGAAAAGUAUUCCACUGCCACCAUGACAUAUUUCAGGUUGCCUUGUGCUGGUGGUAGUGGCCCUAACAAAUCCAAACCCCAUCUUUGCAAUGGCCAUGUUGGUUGUAUUAAUUGAGUUAAAGACGAAGGUUGUUUCUGGUCUCUGGUGCAUCUUUGGCAAUUUUCACAUUUCUGAACUAAUUCUGCCGCAUCUGAAGCUGCCUUCGGCCAAUAAAAACCUUGUAUGAAAACCUUUCCUAGUAGCGGUCUAGACCCAAUGUGAGCUCCACAUAAACCUGCAUGUAUCUCCUUCAUCAAUUCUUGUCCUUCGGCUCUAGACAAGCAUUUGAGUAAUGGAGAGCAAACUCCAUGUUUGUAUAACUCCCCUUCUAUUAUUACAUAAGGUCUUGUUCUUGCUUCCAUUCUCUUGUUAUAAGCUUCAUCAUCUGAAAGACAGUUGCCCUGGAGAAAGGAUACAAUUUCGGUCCACCAAUCUUCACUAUGUAUUGGUGAAAUUGUGAGCACUGCUCUUUCCAUGAGCUCAACUGAAGGUGCUUUUAUUGUUUCAAAAAAUACUUCCAAAGGCAAAGGGAGCCCCUGUGCCGCUGACUUAACUAAUAAGUCUGCAUGCUCAUUCUCUCCCCUUGGGAUAUUUUUUACAAAAAAACCUUCAAAAGAAGCUUCCAACCUUCGGACUGCAUCUAAAUACUUUUCAAGCUUUGGGUCUCGUGCCUUACUGCUUUUAUCCACAUGGCUCGAGAUAACUUGUGAAUCAGUCUUGAGGAUUGCCCUUCUUAUCCCCAGCGCCUUUAGUUUCUGAAGCCCCAAAAGAAGAGCUUCGUACUCGGCAAUGUUAUUUGUACAGCUGAAGUCUAAUUUUAUUGCAUAACAUGUUUUGACUUUAGAAGGUGCAACUAGAACAGCAGCUGCCCCUGCAUCAAAGGUCCCCCAAGAUCCAUCGCAAAAUACCGUCCAAGCUUCGGCAUCUUUUGUUGCUUCUUCAUCCUGAGCCCGUGGCGUCCAAUCAGCAAUGAAGCCUCCAAACGCCUGAGAUUGUAUUGAGGAUAUGUGCACGUAAUCAAUGGUGAAUUCGUUACGUUCCGCGGCCCAUUUUCUGAUCCUUCAUGUAGCUUCUCUGUUCCUCAUUAUGUCCUUCAAGUGUUGCGAUGAAGGCACUAUUAUGUGAUAUGCUUGAAAAUAAUGCCGAAGCUUCCUGGAGGCCAUCAAUACAACAUACAGUACCUUCUCCAAAUAUGUGUAAUUUUUCUUUGAAGGGCUGAGUACUUCGGAAUCAUAGUAUACUGGUGCUUGCUUUUUUACCUAGCCCUCUUGUUUUUCUUGUACAAGUGCUGCACUAACCACGGUAUGGGAAGUAGCCACAUAUAGAAGUAACGGAGCUCCUGAUGAAGGUGGGGUUAGAGUUGUUAGAUCUAUCAAAUACUGCUUCAGCUCUUCGAAGGCUCUCUGCUGAGCUGGACCCCAUUGGAAGACUUCGGUUGAUUUCAAUAUUUGAAAUAAAGGUAAAUUCCUCUCUACUAUCUUGAAAUGAAUCUGUUUAACGAUGCCAGCCUUCCUGCUAACCGUUGAGCCCUCUUUUUGAAUUUGGUGGUUCCAUCCGAAGGAUAGCUUCGAUCUUGCUUGGGUUAGCUUCGAUUCCCUUUGUCGAUACCAGACAACCAAGAAACUUGGCCUUCUUCACUUCGAAGACACAUUUUGUGGAUUUAACUUGAGACCAGCUUGUCUGAAGUUGGCAAAUAUCUCUUGCAAAUCAGCAACAUAGUUUUCUUGCUUUGUGCUUUUUACUAUAAUAUCAUCAACAUAUGUCAGCAGAUUCCUGCCAAUUUGGGAGUGAAGAACCUUGGUAGUCAUUCUGCUGAAGCUUCCUCUAGCAUUUUUGAGCCCCUCAGGCAUCCAAAGGUAACAAUAAGUACCACUAGGAGUUAUGAAGCUUGUCUUCGGCUCAUCCUCCUUCAUCCAGAUUGAUGAUAACCCGAGUAGCAGUCCAGUAAACACAUGAGUUCUGAAGAAGUUGUUGCAUCCAUAAGGGAAUCUAUUCUUGGUAGUGGGAAUUCAUCCUUCGGACAUGCCUUGUUGAGAUCUAUGAAGUCAAUACACAUUCUCCAUUUUCCAUUAGCUUUCUUUACCAUGACAGUGUUGGUCAGCCACUCUGGUUAUGUCACUUCUCUGAUGACGCCGGCACUUAGAAGUCUUUUCACUUCAUUUCGUGCACCUUCGGCUUUAUCAUCGGACAUCUUCUGAAGCCUCUGUUUUCUUGGUCUGAAGGACGGGUCCACAUUGAGUGAGUGCUCAAUAACAUCUCUGAUGACACCACAGAUAUCAUUGGCUAUCCAAGCAAAAACAUCUUUGUUGUUAAACAAAAAUCUUAAUAGAGUCUUUUCUUGUUCAUCAGAUAAUUGAGAUCCCAGCAAUACUUUUUGCUCUGCUAUGUUUUCACACAAAAGCAUAGGCUUCAGUUGAUUUGCUGAAGCAACCUUCUCUCUUUUAUGCUUAUACUACUGAUAAGCUUCAGCUUCAUCUAUAUUAUGAAUGUCCUUCGAAUCCAUCCAACUCCCUUUAGCUCUCCUGGCAGCUUCUUGACUUUCGUGUACCACAAUAGGCCCUUGUUCCGAAGGUAUCUUCAUGCAAAGAUAUGUUGGAUGAAGUAUUGCUUCAAAGGCAAUAAGCGUCCCCCGACCAAUGAUUGCAUUGUAUGGGUACUCCAUAUCAACAAUGUCAAAGACAACCUGUUCUGUUCUUGUGUUGUGAACAUAGCCGAAGGUAACCUGCAUUGUUAUCUUGCCAAGUGCCACAAUCUGUCUUCCUCCAAAGCCACAAAGAGGAUGUGUUGCAUUAUGUAUCUUGUCCUCUAGCUCUUGCAUUUGCAUAAAAGCCCUUGCAAAGAUGAUAUCCCCUGCACUACCUGUGUUCACCAGGACAUUGUGGACCAAAAAUCCCUUGAUGACACAAGAUAUAACCAUUGCAUUAUGGUGAGGAUAAUCCUCAAGCUGAAGGUCUUCCUGAGAGAAGGUAAUUGGAAUAUGAGACCACUUGGACUUGAUGAAGGGCCCCUGCACCCCAACAUGUUGUACCCUUCUCUGUGCUUCUUUCUUCUACCUCUUGUUGGCUGGCUCAGAACUUGAGCCACCUAUGAUUGGGAGCACCGGCUUCGUAACCAAAGGUGCCACAACUUGUUUGCCUUGCGAAGUCAUCGUCAAAGUUGUGCAAGUGAGUUCACCGGAGGUGGGCGCCAAUGUUGAUCCUUGUUCUCAAAUGCUUCAAGAACAAGAUAACACAAUUGUUAACGAUUAAAGGCCUUCGUCCUUCGAAGCAUUAUCUUCUUUUGGAUAUAAUGAUCUUCAUACGAAGGUCAUGAAGGGCGUACCUUCAUCAUCUCAGUGAACAAAUAUAAAUAAGGAUAUAUGAAAUACAAAAGAAUAUAAAUAAUGAUCAUAACAGCAAUCUAUUUAUAUUCUUCUUUUAUAGACAUGGAAAAAGCAUUAACAAUAUUUAUAUUACAUUGAUACCUUCGGCUUGCCAGAAGGUGAAGAUGUGAAAAUGAUGUAACAGUGAUUGUCAUCCAGCGUGAACAGUACGGGGGUACUAUUCAUCUAUUUAUAGGUACAGGAUACAGCCCGAACAAAAUUACAUUCAUGUCCCUAACAUUUAAUUGUAAUUAUAAUACAAACUACUAAGGACUAGAUAGACUUUUCCUCCUUAAGUCGGUAUCAUCCUUCGUCUUCGUCGCAAUACUAAGCCGAAGCUCCUUCAAUCAUAGCUUCGGCUUCUAUCAACAUCAUCUUCAGGUUGUAUCUUCAUGUUGCACCUGCCUUCGUAUUGUCUUGCCGAAGGUGUUUUUGCCUUGAGGACCUUCAGCGGAGAAGAAGACCCCCAACACAUAGCAAGAUUAAAACAAAAUCUUGGCGAAGACACCUAAGGGCACAACUAGAUUAAAACAAAAUCUUGGCGAAGACACCUAAGGGUACAAAGAUGCAUAAGGGCGUAGCCAGAUUAAAAUAAAAUUUUGGCGAAGACACCUAUGUGUGCAAAAAUGCCUAAAGGCGCAACUAGAUUAAAACAAAAUCUUUGCGAAGACACCUAAAGGUGCAAAGGCGCCUAAGGACAUAGCUAGAUUAAAACAAAAUCUUGGCACACACCUAACGAUGUGAAGAUAUCGCACUUAAAUGCAAGGACCUCGCAUUUGUCCCACAUCGACAAAGGUGAGAGGGCAGCGUUCCGCGUUUAAUUUGCUGGUCAAGGACAACUACCACGCGUCAACCAAAACAGUACACAUGAUAACAACAACAUAAAAAGCCAAGGUCUACAUUAAAAUAGCCAGAUGAAGUUCUCAUCACAAGUUUGCAAGCCAAACAAGUACAAUCAAGGACUAGCGGGCUCCUCCUUCAUAAUAAGUUCGUGCUCCCUACAAUUAAACAACAUAAUCUCAAGCUCCCUAGCCUCGCCAAAUAGACCAUGAUUAGACUUGCUAAUGCGAUUGAGGGCAGAGACUCCGCUCAAAACCCUAGCCAAGACAACAUGAUGGGGGCCAAGAUUUAGCUCGCCGACCUCGCGUCACCAAUACAUAAGGCGCCAUCCAAAUUGGGUCCAUCCAACUUAAAACGUUUUUGGCGCCAGUCGCCACCUCAUUCAUGUGAUGUCCCCUUCCGCUUUCGUGUGCCAACAUGUGUUGGUUGGCCCCUACCCCAUGUCAUGCCGCUCACUCCUAAAGGCCCCCUGGCUACUCCGGAAGCGGCCGAGUCCACGACAUCCAUCGCGACAAAAAAGUACAAGUCCUUUCUCGAGGACUUGUCAUCCAUCUAUACAAAGAACUCUAGUCGUCCUCAUCGCCCGACGACUCCAAGUCAAAAAUAUCACCUACACUACCGGAGUCUGAAGCACUUCUCUUGGCCAAAGGUGUACACAUACAACGUUGUCCAAGGGAUCCUACUCCUUUAUUAGAGGAACGACAAAAUCACUCUACUCAGGCCCCCAAAAAGGAACCUACGCAAAAGCAUUGUUGUCGAUCUUCUUCUAUGGCUCUAAGAGGCGAAGCAUAUUUUCUUUGGAUUUUUCUACUUAUUCAUGGAUGGCAUUUAGGUUGUGUAUCUCUUGGCCAAGUGCUUCAUAUUGUCAUGUCGGGCUAACUUCCUUCCUCUUUUGGCUACGCGCUUCUCGAAUUGCCUCUUCUCCUUGAUUAGUGUCCAAUGGUGCGAGGAUGGAGCCAAUUGCUGCUGACUUCUUCGGCGCCAUGAUGAAGCUUGACGUGGUCGUGGAAGUGAGUUCACUAGAGGUGGGCACCAAUGUUGGUCACCUACUUUUGAUUACUAUAUGGUAUCAAAAACAAGGCAACACAAGUUAGAGGAUUGAAACCUUCUCGCUUCAAUUAUCUUUUCUUCGAAGGGAUAACUUAAGGGAGAAGAUGAGAAUAAAGAAUGUGGAUGAAGUAGAAAUGCAUAGGAGUGUAAUGAAGAAUGAAGUGUGUUACUCAUCUCAUAUGUCUUUUUAGCACUUCUCAUUCCAUCUUUCUUCUUAUAAAAAAUGUAAAAGUGUACCUUCGACUUUACACGAGAGAUAGCUCGAAGGUAUUAUAAGUCCAAGUUAGACGAAGCUUCGGGUCUUCCACUCCUAAAAAAUUUGAGUUAUGCAUGGCAUUGUUCCUCUAUUUAUAGAGGAGAGAUACAACUCUGAUGAAUUUACAUUUCACACCCACAAGCCUAUACAUUUGAGCUAUUCUGCACAACGAGGGUGAAGUUGUCUUUUUCUUUCAUCACUCUUGUGAGAACUUCGGCUCCAUCAUUGUUGGUCACUUGUUCUCAAAUGUUGUGGACCAAGAACAAGGCAACACAAUUGUUAAUUAUUGCGGACCUUCGUCUUCGGAAGCAUUAUCUCCACAUUAGUAUAAUGCUCAUCAGACGAAGAUCAAGAAGGACAUACCUUCAUCAUUUAAUAUGUGAAUAAGAAUGCAAAAGGAUGAAGAUAGUAACCACAUCUCGUUAAUUCAUUUAUAUUUGCAUUCUAUAAAAACAUGUUUGAAUAUUAAUAGAAUUCAUAUUACAUUGAUACAUUCGGCUUGUUCGAAGGUGAAGACGUGAGAGAGUGAUUACAAUCCAGCGUGAACACUACGGUGCUACUGUUCAUCUAUUUAUAGGUACGGGACGUAGCCCAGGGGAAAUUACAUUCAUGACCUAUCGGUGUUUAGUGCCCGACCACACACCUAGGGUUACCCCUCACGGUGCUUUUGGGUAGGACGGUGCUAUCGACUGUAGCUUAAUGGUUCGUGCUGGGUGCACGAGAGAUGGACAUGCAAUUUUCUAUAGGUUCGGGCCACUUGGAGAGGUGUAACACCCUACUUCCUGGUGUGGAUCUUUAUGUGGUGGGUUACAAAUGGAGUCUCCUGGAUGGAGAACGGCUAAUGAGAUAAGUAGAUGGUCGAUGGAAAUCAUGGGGUACCCCCUAGGCCUUAUAUACUCGACCGUGGGGCACUACAUGCGUACGUGAAGAUUAUGUGUAUCCUAAAUAAUAGUGAACUGACUGAACUGAUCUUCCUAUAUUCUUGCCGACUUAUCCCUAAUCCGCCCCGAUAUUCAAGGGCGCCGUGCACGGGAAAGUCGGGUGGUUGCUGUGGAUAGUGCAUAAGCUGACGGGCCGCCCCGCCCUAAGUCAGCUUCCUCCUCAGGUUGGCCCAUUCCGCCAGUAGUUCUAGCCCGAUCCGCAAAGGGAAAACCUUGCGAGGCAACUAGCCUAAGGCCCCGCGUGAGGCCUUUUAGCCUUCUAGUGGACCCGGGGGAUAUCUGUCCCCCACAAGCCCCCGAGUUUUGAGUGGAUUUUGGAAAAUAAUCCAUCCAAAGGUCUUCAUCUUAUGCUUUAGAAAUCAGCAUUUUGCCUUCAUGGGACUAAAAAUCCAUUAGGUGGUGUAGCCCCCGAGCUUUGAGUGGAUUUUGGAAAUAAUCCAUUCAAAGGUCGUCAUCUUAUGCUUUAGAAUUCAGCAUUUUGCCUUCAUGGGACUAAAAAUCCAUUGGGUGCACCGAAGGCGCACCCAAUGGGUGUAGCCCCCGAGCUUUGAGUGGAUUUUGGAAAUAAUCCAUUCAAAGGUCUUCAUCUUAUGCUUUAGAAAUCAACAUUUUGCCUUCAUGGGACUAAAAAUUCAUUGGGCGCACCGAAUGUGCACCCAAUGGGUGUAGCCUCUGAGCUUUGAGUGGAUUUUGGAAAUAAUCCAUUCAAAGGUCUUCAUUUUAUGCUCUGGGAAUUCAAACGAUGCUAUCUGUCCAUGCCUUGUUGGGUCUAAAAUUAAUUUGAUCAAUGACAGAUUGGACGUCUGUCCAGCCGAGGCAGAUGGUUCUCAGCUGGACAUCACUCUGCUCUGUGUUUCAAUGCUUCUGUUGAUUGGACUUGCACUCCAGUAUCCACAUUUGGACUUCCUUCCAUUGUAGCCGAUCUCCUCUUUUGUCGUGGUACAUUCAUUGCAUAUAUUUUGUGGAUAUGACUUCUUCAAAAAAUCUUUGAAAAUUCCUGGCGACACACCCAAUGGGGGUGCCCAAGGGGUGUCUUGGUACGUAGAGUGUUUUACCACACUGUCCUGGAGUAGUAACAUGAUGUGAUCAUGGGGCGUAAUCAUAUUGCCUGAGUAGUUGACCUUGGUCCAAACGGUGUCGUGUUACGCGAAGCGACGCCUGUUGCCUGACUCAUUUUCAGACGGCUUGAAUUGCUUAUUGAAUUAUUGCGACUGUUCGGCGAGCGUGGUAGGAAGUGGACGGUCACCCCCGGUCUCUAUAAAUAGCCUGCUUGCCCAAUCAUUUUCUUCACUUAGCCUUUGAUCAUCUGAUUUCUUCUUCUUCCUUGCUCCCUUCUUCUCCAACCAACGAUAGGCAGGGUAGGAGUGGUAGAGGCUUGCCUCGCCGUGCUGGCAGCAAACGUAAGCGUGCUCCAAGUCCUUCUUCCGAGGACUUCGGCGAUUCAGAGUACUCGGAGUAGGUUUCCUUGGAGUCUGAGCGAUCGCCGACUCCUGCCUCUCCUCCAGCGUCAUCCGACGACUCGGAUGACUCCAGGGGACUGUCCACCGUAGUCCGGGCGUACUGGCAUUCCAUCGAGCGCGCUGGGCUCGGUGGGUCGGAUGAAUCGGGGGUCUCCUCGGAUGAGGAGGACUCGUCUGACUCCUCUGAGGAGUGGAGCGGUGGUGACGAUGAUGGAGGCGACGGUGGCAGCAGCGGCGACGACGACGGAGGCGAUGGCGGCAGCAGCGACGACAGCAAGGGCGGCGACGGUGACGACAGCGGCGACGGCGGCAAAGGUGACAGCGGCGAUGACAGCAAGGGCGACAGCGGCGACGGCAGCAGCAGGGGCGGCGACGGUGACGGCAGCGGCGACGGCGUCAAUAGGGGCGGCAGUGGCAAGACUAGUGGCGCGAUGCCACUGGUUAAAUAUUUGUAUAGAUAAUAGUUGUAGUAGUAAGUAGAAUAAUGUAGUGUUAGUUAGUAGUGUAGUGUAGUGUAAGUAGUAAGGUAAUGUAAUGUAACGUAGUAACCAGGGUAGAAGAAGUUGACUCAUAAUGACUCGGCUUCGAGUUUGUGCUACCCCCUCCGGUAUGAAUCAAAGACGCAGUUGCUUCAAAUGAUCACUGUUGUGUUGGUUUUUAUUAGCGCGCUUGAAAGUUUGUCUAUGCGCUUGACAGUGCUGGUAUUUUAGAGGUAAUGUCUGAGUGACUACUGAGGCUUUUACUUUUCUGAGUGGUGAUCUGGCACUUUAGAGAUAAUGCCUAACCCAAGAAACCCAUUUAUACUCGCACCGACAUGCCUUUUUGAUUUCUGAACCUUAACUUCACUUUUUCACUCAGCCGCUUUUCUGCCUUCCUGAAUUUCUAAGCCCACUCAUUCCGCCCGAGAGAUUGUAAUGGCUCCCAAGCGGAAGAGGCUGAGUGUCGUUGCUGCGAUCAUCCCGCCCAUCGAUCCCAAAAGCCAGCUUCUGUUUGCUGGUAAUCACUUGUCUAUUAUUACUGAAUCUUAUCUUUUCCACCUUGUUGAGAUUGGGGUUUUGCCGCCAAAGGAACUCUGUUCUUGGCGGAUCUGUCGCGGAGUCACUGUUCCAACAGAGGACACACAUGAAUCUAUUGUCUAUGUGUCGUUUCUUAUCCGUGGGCUUGCUAUUCUCAUCUCUCCUUUUUUCCGCGGCCUCCUUGAUUUUUACGAAUUAAAUCUGACACACUUAAACCCUAACUCUAUUCUUCAAGUUGCCAUUUUUGUACAUCUGUGCGAGGCUUUUCUCGGAAUUCUCCCCCAUUUCGGACUCUAGAGAUAUCUCUAUCAUUGUCGGCCCGGGAUGGCUGGAGGGCAGCAUCAGCUUGUCGGCGGUGCAAGUUUAGAGCUUCACCGGGGGAGGAAAGUAGAAUAUCUCGAUAUCCCCCUCAAGGACAGCAUUAAGGGAUGGCGUCUUGAGUGGUUCAUCGUGGAGAAUCACGACAAAUCCCUCCCCCUUGGUCAGGGAGGCAACAAUACGUUCAUACGCCCAGCUGGGUAGAGUCUCCCACUUUUUUAGAGAUAACCGAGGCCAAAGUGCUGCUUGCUGAAAUCUGCUUGUUGAAGGAUAGGGGUCUGACUGCUAAAGCCGUGGUCGCUGACUUUGUCUUCAAGAACAUUCAACCCUUGAAGGACAGAGUUUAUCCCACUUAUUUGUAUAUCGGCAUCAAUGAUUCCACCCAGGUCACAAAUAGACAGAUUCCCAAUGAGGACUUGCUGAGCCGACUGGAUAUGAUUCUGAGGGGCAGGGUCUCGAAUGCUGGUGCUCCUUUAGCUUACUUUGCGUGGAACCUGCCUCCAGAUAGGCCAUUCUCUGAAUUUGUCUCCAACCCUCCUGCUCGUGAUGGUAGCCCGGGCCAUAGAGUGCGACCCUCCCCCGAGGAUAUUGAAGCCUUGAUUGCCCCACUUUGGAGUCUUCCUGAGGCUGAGAGGUGAACUCACUUUGAGAUGCCAGCUAGCACCGAUGAUGCUGAGAUGGACGUCGUGUUUAGUGUGCUGGUCGGGGAAUCGUCUGACUCUACCCGUACCGAGCCGAUGGCCAUCACGACUGGACAAAAGUUUGACGAGGAUGUGGAGAUCCAGAAACUGAAGGUGCCCACCCAAAGCAUUCAUGCCGAGUGAGCCGCCCGGCUGCACCUGUCGAGAAGAAGAAGAAGAAGAAGAGGCGACUUCAACGACUAUCAUGCCUGGAUCAAGAUGCUGGUCCUUCUGCGUCGAUCCUUGGUGAUGGCCUGGUGGACGCCAUUCCUGAGGUCAAUGCUGAAGGUUGUGAUGAUGCACAGGCUGCUGGCGGUGUAUUUGACGAGGAUCAAGAGGAAGAAGAGGAGGAAAUUUUGCUGAUCCGCAAGAACAGCCGUCAUUAUAGAGGCAGCGAUGGGGGCAGCGAUAUUCCCUCCCAAGCCCUAUCGGCACUCAUCAGCCUUCAGGGGCUUUCAAUAUCAGACUUUGAUCAGGUACUAGAAGAGGUCAUUCCCGAAGACAUUUUAUCAGAGCCUCCUGAGGCUGACAUUCCAACCAUAUGUUUAGAGGUCCCAGAUGGUGGACUUUUGCUGCAUGAUUCUGCUGGGCAAGAGGCGACCUGGGUGGUGUCUCGUACACGUCGACCUUGGAGGGCAGUCUUCCAUGUAAAAAUGCUGAUCCGAGUCAUCCAACUCCUAUGGAGGUGGCUGAGGGGCCUUCAGCCUUAGAAGUGGCUGUUGUAGAGGACCCAGCCCCCGAGGGUGGCGCUGGUUGUGACCCAGCCUCCGAGGGUGGCGCUGGUAGCAAUCCAGCCCCCGAGGGUGUUGGAGCAUGCUCUUUCUCUACCGCUUCCAUGGACGUCCACACUGGAUCACCCUUAGUCCGGUCCGAGGAGGUUGUGGUGACACGCGUUUCUACGGCUCUCGCUGGUCAAGUCGCUUUAGAGAUCAGCGAGCCAAACGCCAGGAGCCUACUGCCUACUGGUGGGGCUGAAGUUACCCCGAGUCGUGCUCUUGAGAUUGAUCCUGCUAAUCUUCCCUCAUCAAGCCAUGCACUGGUUCUUCCUGUGUUGGGUCUUCCACUAUUCCUUUUCAAUCUUCAGGUGAGUCAACUUUUUGCUUUUUAUUGUUCAUACUGGCGAAUUAUCUUUUUUGCUUAUCUGUCCAUGACCACAUGAUUUUGUUGCGAUGAUUUGAAGGCGUCGAACGCUGGUUAGUGAACUCACGGCCUGUCUAGUUGAUUUAAUUACUCAGCUUAUCUUUAAUCGUGCGUUCUCUUUCAGCUGCUUUAUCAUAUAUGGCUCGGCGGUGCUCUGACUUUGAGGAGAAGUACUCUCAGAGUUAGGCCGACUUAGCCCAGACCUGUGCUUUUCUGGAUAGUGCACGUUCCCUGAAUUCUUCUCUGAAUGCCCAGCUUGAUUCCGAGAGGAUGGCACAUGAGGUAAACUUCCUUGGCUGACCUUGCCUUGCUAUCCUUGCUUCAAUGCUGAAUGUUGUUCUCUGUUCGCAGGAAGAAAAACAAACACUUGUUGCUUCCCGAGACAAUCUGGACAGGCUAUACCAUGACGCUAGUAACUCCUUGACCAUCCUAAAGAUGGGUCACUGCUUCACCAUGUCUGACUUGGACCAUCAUUGCCACGAGCUGCAUGCAUCUCAGGAUGAAGUUUCUCGACUCGGCCAGUUGUUGUCCACCAAGGACUCCACCAUCAGGGAACUACGUGCCUCCAAGAAUCUUGUCGCGUAGGAGCUGGAGGCCACUCAACUUGCUAUUAAGAGCUUGGAGAAUAAUUGUGCCGUCCUGCAAGCUCACCGCGACAGGGCUAUGGACAAAGCCAUUCGCGCUGGGCGGAUCCGGAUGAGGAGACCUAGCGUAGUGGUGCCCGAUGAUAUUAUUGCUGAUGUCAAGGCCGCGCCUGAUGCCGCAAGCCGUCCAUCCUCUUCCGUUGCCCCUACGAAGGAUACUGUCUGCAAAGAUGUUUCGACGCGGUGAUCUCCUAUAAAACACUUAUUUAUUCUAGUUAGAAUCUCUUUAGAGAAAAGAUGUAAUAUAAAUUAUGCAUGUGUGCGACAAUUAUGUUAGAACUUGAUCAUUCUGUGAACAGGGUGCUGGAAAACCCCUGGCACUUGUAAGUGAGAUAUUUCUUUUGUCUAAGUACUCUUAAUUUGAGCUGGUUAUUUUACUACUAGGGUACAGUGGUCACCCCAAAUCAUGUGAAUGCAAGUAUGCUACAUCAACUUAAGGCGCCUCUGACUUAAGCCGACUGCUCCGUUAGCAGGGUAUAGUGAUCACCCUAAGUCAAGUAAGUGCGAGCAUGUCGCACCGUCUUAAGUCAUCUCCGACUUAAGUCGAUGCUCUGUUGAACAGGGUAUAGUGGUCACCCUAAGUCAGGUAAGCGUGAGCAUGUCGCACCGACUUAAGUCGUCUCCGACUUAAGUCGAUUGCUUUGUUUAACAGGGUAUAGUGGUCACCCUAAGUCAGGUAAGCAUGAGCAUGUCGCACCGACUUAAGUCGUCUUCGACUUAAGCUGAUUGCUCUGUUUAACAGGGUAUAGUGGUCACCCUAAGUCAGGUAAGCGUGAGCAUGUCGCACUGACUUAAGCCGCCUCCGACUUAAGCCGAUUGCUCCGUUUAACAGGGUAUAGUGGUCACCCUAAGUCAGGUAAGCGUGGGCAUGUCGCACCGACUUAAGCCGUCUCCAACUUGAGCUGAUUGCUCCGUUUAACAGGGUAUAGUGGUCACCCUAAGUCACGCCAUUCCGAUUCCGAGUUAAGCUCAAUUGAAGUCAGUAGUCAGUCGAGAGUCUGAAUGUCUUUGGAAAAUGAAAGCUUUAUCGAUGAUGAAAUCUUCCGGUUACAGAAUAUAGUUUUCCUUUUUUUUGAAGCAUCGCUAAGGGUAGAACUUUCUGAGGUGCUCUAUGUUCCAUGAGUUCCCCACUUCUAUGUCAUCCAUCUGAGUAAGUUGGUACGAUCCCAGCAGUGUGACUUCUGAAACGAUGAACGGUCCUUCCCAUAGUUACGACAACUUGUGUCGUCCCUCCCCCGUUAGAAUUUGGGGGAGGACCAAGUCUCCCACUGCAAAGGAUCGAUGCCGCACAGCUUUGUCGUGGUAGCGCCUCAAGGUCUGCUAGUACCUGGCCGACUGAAUUACUGUGUUCAAUCGUUCUUCUUUCAGCACAUCAAUGUCUUCAAACCUGGUUGCUUCUACCUUAGCUAUGUUUUCAAAAGUCAACCUAGGCGCUCUGCAGAUCAGAACGGCAGGCAACACUGCUUCCGACCCAUAAACCAUGAAGAACAGGGUGUUCCCAUGCAGAGCUCGACUGGGUUGAGUUUGCAGGCUCCAGCCCACGUACGAUAGUUCUCUGAUCCAUUUUCCUGCAAGCUUUUCACUCUUAUCGAAUACCUUCUUUUUGAGUGCUUCCAGUAUCAUUCCGUUAGCUCUUUCCACCUGGCCAUUGGCUCUUGGGUGUGCUACCGAUGCGUACUUAAUCUGGAUACUCCUUUGCUCGCAGAAAUCGAAGAAUUUAGAGCUGGUGAAGUUGGAUCCCAGGUCAGUGAUGAUGCUAUUGGGUAUCCAAAACCUGAAUAUUAUGUCCUGGACAAACUCCACUGAUUUGGCUGAGGUCAAAGAGGCAAUUGGCUUGUACUCUAUCCAUUUUGUGAAUUUGUCAAUGGCAACAAGUAUAUGAGUAUAGCCUCCUUGAGCUUUCUUGAAAGGUCUGAUCAUGUAUAGUCCCCAGCAUGCAAACGACCAUGUUACAGGAAUGGUCUGCAUCGGCUGUGCGGGCAAGUGAUGUUGCUUCGAUAGAAAUUGGUACGCUUCACACUUUUGAACUAACUCGGCACCAUCGCUCUUUGCAGUUGGCCAGUAGAAACCGGAUCUGAAAGCCUUCUCGACCAGAGUCCUUGAUGCAGCAUGUACCCCACACUGCCCGGCAUGGAUUUCAUCCAACAAUUGUCUCCCAGUGGCCGAGUGAAUGCAUUUCAUGAAGACCCCUCCUGCACCUCUCUUGUACAGUGAGCCUCCUAUAAUGGUGUAGUGGGCUGACUGCCUUGCGAUGCGUUCUGCUACAGCCUUGUCGUCCGGCUCUUCUUCAUUCUUUCUAUACCUGAUGAUAGGCUCUCUCCAGUCGUUAGGAUCUGCCUCUGGCUGAGUCAAGGCAUUGCACUCUUCCACCUGAUCCGUGAGGAUGCUCGGAUGUGAUAUUUCUUGGAUGAAAAUCUCAGGUGGAGCCUGGGCCCGACUGGAUCCUAGCUUUGACAACGCAUCCGUUGCUGCGUUGUGAUCUCUUUUCACGUGAUGGAACUCCAAUCCCUCGAAUUUGUCUUCCAGUUUUCGCACGACUGCGCAGUACUUGCCCAUUGAUUCAGUCGAGCAGUCCCAGUCCUUGUUUAUCUGGCUUAUGACCACCAGCGAGUCAUCAUAUACCAUCAGUUUCUUGAUGUCGAGUGAUACGGCAAUGCUCAGCCCGUGAAUCAGUGCUUCAUACUCUGCCGCAUUAUUUGAUGUUGGAAACAGCAGCUGGAGUGCAUACUUGAGUUGUUCACCUCUAGGAGCAGUAAAAAUAAUCCAUGCACCCACUCCUUGCAGCUUCAGCGAGCCAUCAAAGUACAUUCUCCAUACCUCAGCGACUUCUGGGCUAUCCGGAACCUGGUGUUCAGUCCAUUCUGAUACGAAGUCGACUAGCGCCUGAGUCUUAAUUGUUGUGCGGGGCCAGAACUCUAUGUCGUGAGCUCUCAGCUCGCAUGCUCAUUUGGCUAUCCUUCCAAUAUCUUCUUUGUUGUGGAGAAUGUCUCCUAUCGGGAAUCCUGUGACUACUAUGACUUUGUGAUCAUCAAAGUAGUGUCGGAGCUUGUGAGCGGUUAGAAGUACCGCGUACAACAGCUUCUGGACUUGAGGAUACCUUAUAUUUGAGGGCCCGAGGACUUCACUGAUGAAGUAGACUGGAUGUUGCACCGGGUAUGCAUGUCCUUCCUCCGCCCGCUCGACUACUAACGCGGUGCUUACCACGUGAGUCAUGCAGGAGAUGUACGGGAGCAGAUCUUCUACCGGCCGACCGGGCGUAGCUCGGUGUGGCGGCUUGAGUACUGGUGGUGUGGUCAAUAACUUCUUUAGUGCCUCUUAAGCUUCCUGUGCCUCUGUGGUCCACUAAAACUUGUCCACCUUCUUGAGCAAUUUGUAAAAUGGCAUGCCUUUCUCACCUAGCCUUGAUAUGAACCUGCUUAGGGCUGCCAUGCAUCCAGUAAGCCUUUGUACCUUUUUCUAUGAUCGUGGCGCUUCCAUUCUCAUGAUGGCCUCGAUCUUUUCUGGAUUAGCUUCAAUUCCUCGGUGGCAGACAAUGAAUAUGAGUAGCUUCCUUGCUGAUACUCCGAAUACACAUUUUUCUGGGUUCAGCUUCCACCGGUAGCGCCUCAGGCUGUUGAAGACCAACUGCAAAUCUUCGAAGAAGUUUUCUGAGCUUUUUUUCUUGAUCACCACAUCAUCGACGUAGGCUUCCACCCGCUUGCCCCAGUGAUAGGCUAAGCAUGUCUGGAUAGCUCUCUGGUAAGUCGCUCCUGCGUUCUUGAGGCCGAACGACAUGGAGGUAUAGCAGAAAGCUCCAAACAGGGUGAUGAAAGCAGUCUUCUCCAUAUCUUCUUUUGCCAAGCUGAUCUGAUGGUAUCCAAAAUAGCAGUCUAGGAAGGACAACAAAGAACAGCCAGCAGUCGAGUCAACUACCUGAUCUAUUCUAGGGAGCCCGAAGGGAUCCUUCGGACAAUGCUUGUUGAGAUCAGUAUAGUCGACGCACAUGCGCCAAUCUACUUUAUUCUUUUUGAGUACAAGAAUAGGAUUCGCUAGCCACUCGGGGUGCAGCACCUCCCUAAUGAACCCCGCAGACACUAAGCAGGCUAACUCGGUGCGAAUAGCCUCUCUUUUAUCGGGCGUGAAACGACGCAGCUUUUGUCAAAUCGACCUUGCUUGAAGAUAGACCUUCAAUUUGUGCUUGGCCAGUUCCCUCGGGACUCUCGGCAUAUCCGCAAGUUGCCAUGCAAAUAUGUCUCAGUUUUCUUGCAGGAACCGGAUGAGCGCACUUUCCUAUUUGUCAUCGAGGUUGGAACUGAUGAUGGCAGUCUUGCGCUCAUCAGCGAAUCCUAGGUUGAUCCUCUUAGUCUCUUCAGUCGACCGUAUAGAGGUCACGAUUUGAGCUUCGUUAGUGGGUAUUGUGAGACCCUCCUCUGACUUGAUGUCUGCUUGUUCGGGGGGAGUUGUCGGGCGUCUAGCAGUGAGGGCUGCUUGGAUGUCUCCCCGAAAGCACUCCGCGUCGCCUUGAAAGUCAGCGUGCAUGGUGAUAAUUCCUUGUGGUCCCAACAUCUUCAAUAUCAUGUAUGAGUAAUGCGGAAUGGCCAUGAACUUUGCCAGUCCCGGCCUACCAAUGAUGGCAUUGUACCCGCAGUCGAAGCGUGCCACCUCAAACCUUAGGAAUUCAGUUCUAUAGUUCUCCGGAGUCCCGAAGGUGACAUGCAUGUAGAUGUGCCCGAGUGGGUACUCCCCUUCAGUCGGCACGAUACCGAAGAAGGGAGUAUCUGAUUCGGUGAGGUCUUUGAGUGCGACCCCCAAGGCUAGGAGCGUCUGGGGGAAGGUAACGUUAAUGCUACAUCCCCUUCCACUAGUACUUUCUUCACUCGGCUCUCUCGGAUCACUAGAUCAACGAGGAGUGGUACUUGCCGGGGUGGUCGAAGUUGAGCCACUGAUCUGCUCGGCUGAAGGUUAUUGCGUGUUCCGACCACCAAUAAGGAGCUGGGGCACCGGUGGUUGCCACAAGGAUCUAUCGAUCAUUGAGCUUCUGCUGCCUCCUGUUCUCUUGAGCUCUGUGUCCUCCGAAUAUGACGUUGACCUCCCUGUCAACGCGCAGGAACGCUCUGCCCCCUCCCCCUUCUUGGUGCUGAGGCUGCCUGGGCUCACCAGGCCCUCCUCGUGGUGGGGGACGUGGUAGAGGCUGGAACGGUCGGUCAUGUUCGACGGAGUGCUUGAAAUCCCUACAGUUCCGUAGGGUGUGGCACAUGUCCUUGUGGUACGGGCACUGGGCAUCGAGGAUGUCAUCUAGUGUCUGCUCGCCUCCGUGGGGCGCACCUUGGGCUCGAGCGACGGGUGGUCCGACGGCGUGUACCUCCUCACGAGGCCUCUUCUCCCAGCGCCUAUCAGGUUGCUGGUUCGUGUCGCGCUGUGACACGAGUGGAGCAGGUUUUGUACCUCCGAUGAGGUUCUGGGCCCGCACAUCUAUGGUGAUGUAGAGAUCUGCAUCUCGAAACAGUUGUUUGGAGGCGGGCGCUUUUUGCAGUAUGGCUCGAACGAAGGCCGAGUCAUUGGAUCCCCGGUAGAAAUCUUCGAUCACUGCUGCCUCGGUGACUUCGGGGAUGUGGCUCCUCAUGGUCUAAAACCUCUUGAGGUAUGAGCGGAGUGUUUCAUCCCCCUGGCGCCUGAUGGAUUUGAGGUCUCAUGGCUGCGCUGGCUUGUCAGAGAGAGACUUGAAGUUGGCGAUGAACCGCCGACUGAAGUCUCUCCAAUCAUCGAUGCAGUGUCAUGGCAGAUGUUGUAUCCACUGCAGUGCGUCUUUGAGAGUACCUAGAGGGGGUGAAUAGGUGAUCCUGUAAAAUCAAACACUAAUAGCCAUAAAACUUAGUUUAAAGUGUUAGUACGGCUAAGUAGCUUUGAAGCGAGUUCUUGUGAACACAACAAUCACAGAGAAAGCUACACAAGAGACACAUGAUUUUUAUCCCGUGGUUCGGCCAAGUAACACUUGCCUACUUCCACGUUGUGGCGUCCCAAUGGACAAGGGUUGCACUCAACCCCUUUCAAGUGAUCCGAUGAUCAACUUGAAUACCACGAUCUUUUCCUUUAGAGUAUGUUUCCCGUUUGCGAGGAAUCUCCAUAAUUUGGAGUCUGUCGCCCUUACAAUUGAGAUCACAAAGAAAGCACAGAGUAAGGUUGGGGAGAGCAACACACACACGUCUCAAAUCCGCAGCACAACAACGCACACAAGUGAGAACGUGAGCACACAAACACAGCGCGAGGAGUUUACAACUCGAAUAGUGCUCAAAUCUCAAGAACGAUGAUCCAAUUGUGUGAAAGCGGAGUCUAGAUGUCUUAGGAUGUUUCUUGUAAGCUUGGUGCCCUCCUCCAUGCGCCUAGGGGUCCCUUUUAUAGCCCCAAGGCAGCUAGGAGCCAUUGGAGGCCAACUUGGAAGGCCAAACUUGCCUUCUGUCGGGUGGUGCGCCGGACAGUCCGGUGCACCACCGGACAGUCACUAUAGGUAUCCGGUGCGUGAUCGCCUUCCAUAUCUGGUGCAUCCGACCGUUGGUCCUCGGGGUCGGUUGGCGCACCGGACACUGUCCGGUGCACACCGGAUAGUCCGGUGUGCCCAACCGACCGUUGCUGCGGGCCACGCGUCGCCCGCAGAUCGCGCGGCCGACCGUUGGCGCUGGCGACCGUUGGCUCACCGGACAGUCCGAUGAAUUAUAGCCGUAUGCCUCUGCAUUUUUCUGAGAGCAGCCGGUUAAUCGCCGGCCAGCCUGCACCACCGUACAUUAUCCGGUGCACCACGGACAGUCCGGUGUGCCUGGCCAGAGUUGGUGUUGGCUGCACACAGCCAACUCUUUUCCUUCUCUUUUCCUUUUCUUUUCCUCUUCUUUUGUCACUGUUUCUAGUACUUAGAUAAACACAUUAGUAUUAAAAACAAUAUACUAAGUCUAGAAACAUACCUUUGUCUCUGAUUUGCAUUUCUCACACAUUUUUCUCAUAAGUACUCAUUUAAUGUGUUGGGCAUCUAAUCACCAAAAUACUUAUAGAAAUGGCCCAAGGGCACAUUCCCUUUUCAAUCUCCCCCUUUUUGGUGAUUCAUGCCAACACAUCAAAAAGCAACCAAAGAAGUGCAACAUCAAUGCAAUUGAAGACCAAAUUAUUUUUGCUAAUGAUUUUGGCAUAUUUGGAUCACUCUUUGCCACCACUUGGUUUGUUUUUGCAAAUCAAAUUCUUUUUCCUAUCUCUAAGUCAAACACACUUGUUUGGGCAAAUCGAGAGAUAUUUCUAGAGAAAAAUUGAUCAAGUGCCAAAAGCUCCCCCUUUUCCCAUAAUCAAAAUUCUCCCCCAUAAGAGACCAAAUUUUGCAAUAAGAGUAUUUUGGACAAGUCACAAAUUCUAACUCUACUAUUUUCGAAAUUCUCAAGUGGUUGGCUGAUCCAGUUGCUUUGGCCUUAAUUUCUCCCCCUUUGGCAUUAAGCACCAAAACGGAAUCAUUCUUGGCCCUUUAACCCCAUUGCCUCACCAAAAAUAUCAAUUAAGAGCAAAAAGGCAAUGAGAUCGCAAGUAUGAACUUGGAAGUAAGUACACUAAUACCAGAGUGCAGUGGAAGUAUUUUCAUUGUCCAAGUUCACCUUUCCCUUUCAAUGCACCUUUGAGACUACAUCAAGUAUGCUCAAACAAACAGGUUAGUCUUAAAGGGUCAAGUUGUAGCACAUCUCCCCCUAAAUAUGUGCACCAUUUGCAUAUGGACUUGUGAGGUCCGGGGAGGUCUUGUACAACUUGAGCACCACAAAUAUACAACGAAUAAUGUAAAUGCUUAAAGUGACAUGAUCAAAGGCAUAGAACAUAUGUAUGCUAUUGAUCAAUUCAAGUUACGUGAAUCUAAGACAUUUAGCUCACUUCACAACUUGCAAAAUGUUUUCUCAUCCAACGGCUUGGUGAAGAUAUCGGCUAGCUGGUUCUUGGUGCUAAUAUGAAAAAUAUCGAUAUCUCCCUUUUGCUGGUGAUCCCUCAGGAAGUGAUGCUGGAUGUCUAUGUGCUUAGUGCGGCUAUGUUCAACAGGAUUAUCCGCCAAGCAGAUUGCACUCUCAUUAUCACAUAGGAGUCGGACUUUGCUCAGAUUGUAGCCAAAGUCCCGGAGGGUUUGCCUCAUCCAAAGUAGUUGUGCGCAACACUGUCCUACGGCAACAUACUCGGCCUCAGCGGUGGAUAGGGCAACAGAUGUCUGUUUCUUGGAACUCUAGGACACCAGGGACCUUCCUAGAAAUUGGCACGUCCCUGAUGUACUCUUCCUAUCAACUUUGCACCCGGCAUAAUCAGAGUCUGUGUAUCCAAUUAAGUCAAAGGUAGACCCCUUUGGAUACCAGAUCCCGAAGCAAGGCGUAGCAACUAAAUAUCUAAGAAUUCGCUUAACGGCCACAAGGUGACACUCCCAGGGGUCAGAUUGAUGUCUAGCACACAUGCAUACACUUAGCAUAAUGUCCGGUCUACUACCACAUAAAUAAAGUAAUGACCCUAUCAUGGACCGGUAUGCCUUUUGAUCGACGGACUUACCUCCUUUGUUGAGGUCGACAUGCCCGUCGGUUCCCAUUGGUGUCUUCGCGGGCUUGGCGUCCUUCAUCCCAAACCUCUUGAGAAGAUAUUGAGUGUACUUUGUUUGGGAGAUGAAGGUACCGUCCUUGAGUUGCUUCACUUGGAAUCCAAGGAAGUAUGUUAACUCGCCCAUCAUCGACAUCUCAAACUUUUGCAUCAUCACCCUGCUAAAUUCCUCACAAGACUUUUGGUUAGUAGAACCAAAUAUUAUGUCAUCGACAUAAAUUUGGCACACAAAAAGAUCACCAUCACAAGUCUUGGUAAGAGUGGGAUCAGCUUUCCCAACCUUGAAAGCAUUAGCAAUUAAGAAAUUUCUAAGGCAUUCAUACCAUGCUCUUGGGGCUUGCUUAAGUCCAUAGAGCGCCUUAGAGAGCUUAUAGACGUGGUCGGGAUACCUGUCAUCCUCAAAGCCAGGGGGUUGUUCCACGUAUACCUCCUCCUUGAUUGGCCCGUUGAGGAAAGAGCUCUUCCUGUCCAUUUGAAACAGCCUAAAAGAGUGAUGAGCAGCAUAGGCUAAUAAUAUUCGAAUAGACUCUAGCCUAGCCACAGGAGCAAAAGUCUCCUCAAAAUCCAAACCUGCGACUUGGGCAUAACCUUUUUCCACAAGUCGAGCCUUGUUUCUUGUCACCACCCCAUGCUCGUCUUGCUUGUUAUGGAACACCCACUUGGUUCCCACAAUGUUUUGCUUUGGGCGUGGCACCAGGCUCCAGACUUCAUUUCUCUUGAAGUUGUUGAGCUCUUCCUGCAUGGCCAACACCCAGUCCAGAUCCUGCAAGGCCUCUUCUACCCUGAAAGGCUCAAUAGAAGAGACAAACGAGUAAUGCUCACAAAAAUUAGCUAAAUGUAAGCGAGUCGUUACUCCCUUGCUGAUAUCACCCAGAAUUUGAUCGACGGGGUGAUUUCUUUGGAUCGUUGCUUGGACUUGAGUUAGAGGGACCCAUGGUGCUUCUUCCUCCAUAACUUGUUCUUCUUGUGCUCCCCCUUGAUCAUGCUCCUCAUCUUGAGGUACCUGUCCAUCAUCUUGAGUUGGGGGAUGCACCAGCGUCAAGGAAGAAAGCUGAUCUUGUUCCUGUAGUUCCUGUGGUCGCACAUCACCUAUCGCCAUCGUGCGCAUUGCGGCCGUUGGAACUUCAUCUUCAUCUAUAUCAUCAAGAUCAACUUGCUCUCUUGGAGAGCCAUCAGUCUCAUCAAAUACAACAUCGCUAGAGACUUCAACUAACCCUGAUGAUUUGUUGAAGACCCUAUACGCCUUUGUAUUUGAUUCAUACCCUAGUAAAAACCCUUCUACAACCUUGGGAGCAAAUUUAGAAUGUCUACCUUUCUUCACCAGAAUGUAGCAUUUGCUCCCAAAUACACGAAAGUAAGAUACAUUGGGUUUGUUACCGGUAAGGAGUUCGUAGGAGGUCUUCUUGAGAAGGCGAUGCAGAUAGAGUCGGUUUAUGGUGUGGCAAGAUGUGUUCACAGCUUCCGACCAAAACCGCUCGUGCGUCUUGAACUCUCCUAGCAUUGUUCUCGCCAUGUCGAUAAGUGUCUUGUUCUUCCACUCUACCACACCAUUUUGCUAUGGUGUGUAGGGAGCGGAGAACUCGUGCUUGAUGCCUUCCUCCUCAAGAAACUCUUCAACUUGCAGAUUCUUGAACUCAGACCCAUUGUCGCUCCUUAUCUUCUUCACCUUUAGCUCAAAUUCAUUUUGAGCCCACCUUAGAAAGCGCUUUAGGGUCCCUUGGGUUUCAGAUUUGUCCUGCAAAAAUAAUACCCAAGUGAAGCGGGAAAAAUCAUCAACAAUUACAAGACCAUACUUGCUUCCCCUGAUGCUAAGGUAGGCAACGGGUCCAAAGAGGUCCAUGUGGAGAAGCUCCAGUGGUCUUGAUGUAGUCAUCACAUUCUUGCUGUGAUGAGUGCUUCCCACCUAUUUCCCUGCCUGACAUGCUGCACAAGGUCUGUCUUUCUCAAAGCAGACAUUAGUUAGUCCUAACACAUGAUCUCCCUUUAGAAGUUUAUGAAGGUUCUUCAUCCCAACAUGUGCUAGACGGUGAUGCAAAAGCCAGCCCAUAUUAGUCUUAGCCAUUAAGCAUGCAUCUAGAUCGGCAUUCUCUUUCGAAAAAUCUACUAAAUAGAGUUUGUCGUCUAAUACACCCUUAAAUGCUAAUGAACCAUCACUCCUUCUAAAGAUAGAUACAUCUAUAUUUGUGAAUAAACAUCUAUAGCCCAUGUUACAUAAUUGACUCACAGACAAUAAGUUGUACCCGAGCGAUUCAACUAAAAACACAUUGGAGAUCGAAUGCUCGGAUGUAAUGGCUAUCUUUCCCAAUCCUUUAACCUUGCCUUGGUUCCCAUCUCCAAAGAUAAUCGCAUCCUGGGAAUCCUUGUUCUUGACGUAGGAGGUGAACAUUUUCUUCUCCGCCGUCAUGUGGUUUGUGCAUCCACUGUCGAUAAUCCAGCUUGAGCCCCCGGAUGCAUAAACCCGCAAGGCAAUUUACGCUUGGGUUUUAGGUACCCAACUCUUGUUGGGUCCUACAAGGUUAGUCACAAUUACUUUUGGAACCCAAAUACAAGUCUUGUCUCCCUUGCAUUUGGAUCCCAACUUCCUAGCAACUACUUUUUCAUUCUUACAUGAAAGUACAAACGAGGUGUUGCAAGCAUGAAAAACAGUAGUAGAUUUAUUACACAUUUUCCUAGGCACAUGAUGCACAACAUGAUUUUUCCUAGGCCUACUUCUACCACGCACAAAAGUAGAACUAGAGGCAAACAUAGCAUGUGAAUCAUUGUAAGAAGUAUGAACAUAAGUCUUAUUAUAAUUGGAACGACUAGUAAUUUUCCUAUUAUAAAUGAAAGCAUGGUUCCUUUGAGGACUACUAGCCAUUGGGGCCUUCCCUUUCUCCUUGUUGAGGCUGGGAGCCUUUUGGCUUGUUAAGUUCUUGGUUUCCUUUCGAAAACCAAGUCCAUCCUUAAUUGAGGGGUGUCUACCAAUAGUGUAGGCAUCCCUAGCAAAUCUUAAUUUAUCAAAAUCACUUUUGCAAGUCUUAAGUUGAGUAUUAAGACUUGCCACCUCAUCAUUCAAUUUAGUAAUAAAAAUAAGAUGUUCAUUGCAUGCAUCAACAUCAAAGUCUUUACAUCUAUUACAAAUACUUACAUGCUCUACACAUGAACUUAUUUUACUAACUUCCUCCAACUUAACAUUUAAAUCAUUAUUUAAAUUCUUUAAACUAGAGAUAGAUUCAUGGCAACCAGAUAACUCAGAAGAUAGCAUUUCAUUUCUCUUAAUUUCUAAAGCAAGAGACUUUUGUACACUAACAAAUUUGUCAUGUUCCUCAUACAAAAUGUCCUCUUGCUUUUCUAGUAGUCUAUCUUUUUCAUUUAGAGCAACAAUUAAUACAUUAAUUUUCUCUACUUUGGCUCUAUCUAAACCCUUAAAUAAACUAGAGUAAUCUACUUCAUCAUCGGAGGAUUCCUCAUCACUAGAAGAAGAGUACUUAGGGGAAUCUUGAAUACGUACCUUCUUCUCCUUAGCCAUGAGGCAAGUGUGGCGUUCGUUAGGGAAGAGCGAAGACUUGUCGAAGGCCGAGGCAGCCAAUCCUUCAUCGUCAGAGUCAGAUGAGGAGCAGUCAGAAUCCCACUCCUUUCCAAGAUGUGCCUCGCCCUUCGCCUUCUUGUAGUUUUUCUUCUUCUCCUUCUUCCCAUACUUUUCUUGUCCCUGGUCAUUAUCGUUAUCGGGGCAUUGUGCUAUGAAAUGACCAGCCUUACCGCAUUUGAAGCAGGAGCGCUUUCCCCUUGUUUUGUUCUUGUUGGGGUACUCCUUGCAUCCUUUGAGUGCGGUCUUGAAACGUUUGAUGAUUUUGGCCAUCUCAUCUUCAUUUAGCCAGCAGCCUCCACUUGUGCCACCUUGCUUGGUAGCGCCUCCCUGCUGCUUGUUGCUUUGAGAGCAACGGGCUGUGGCUCGUAGACGGGUAGUGGACCAUUUAGUGCAUCGUCCACGUAUCGAGCCUCCUUCACCAUCAUGCGUCCACUCACAAAUUUUCCGAGGAUCUCCUCGGGCGUCAUCUUGGUGUACCUGGGGUUUUCACAAAUAAGGUUGACAAGAUGGGGGUCAAUUAUAGUAAAUGACCUUAGCAUGAGUCGGACGACAUCAUGAUCCGUCCAUCUUGUGCUUCCAUAGCUUCGGAUCUUAUAGACUAGGGUCUUGAGCCUAUUGUAGGUCUGACUUGGCUCCUCUCCCCUGAUCAUCGCGAACCUCCCCAGCUCGCCUUCCACUAGUUCCAUCUUUGUGAUCAUGGUGGCAUCAUUUCCCUCAUGUGAUAUCUUAAGGGUAUCCCAGAUUUGUUUGGCAUUGUCCAAGUCACUCACUUUAUUGUACUCGUCCCUGCAAAGAGAUGCUAACAACAUAGUAGUACCUUGGGCAUUUUAUGGAUUUGCUCAUUAAUAAUCAUAGGGUUAUCAGUGUUAUCAAAAUGCAUUCCACUUUCGACAAUUUCCCAAAUACUAGGAUGGAGAAAAAAUAGAUGACUACGCAUUUUAUGGCUCCAAAAUGAAUAGUCUUCUUCAUCAAAGUGUGGAGGUUUUCCAAGAGGAAUAGAAAGUAGAUGUGCAUUUGUAUUAUAUGGAAUACGGGAAUAAUCAAAAGAAUAAUUUUGGUUAACCGUUUUCUUUUUCGAUGAAGAGUCGUCGUCGUCGUCUCUUGGUGAAGAAGAUGAUGCCUCACUGUCGUAGUAGAUGAUCUUCUUGAUGAGUCUCUUCUUCUUCCCGUCUCUCUUUUUGUGACUUGAGCCGGAGUCGGUAGGCUUGUCGUCUCUUGGCUCAUUGAAGAGGGACUCCUUCUCCUUAUCGUUGACCACCAUCCCCUUUCCCUUAGGAUCCAUCUCUUCGGGCGGUUAGUCCCUUAGAUUAAGAGUACGGCUCUGAUACCAAUUGAGAGUACCUAGAGGGGGGUGAAUAGGUGAUCCUGUAAAAUCAAACACUAAUAGCCACAAAACUUAGUUUAAAGUGUUAGUACGGCUAAGUAGCUUUGAAGCGAGUUCUUGUAAAUACAACAAUCACAGAGAAAGCAACACAAGAGACAGGCGAUUUUUAUCCCAUGGUUCGGCCAAGUAACACUUGCCUACUUCCACGUUGUGGCGUCCCAAUGGACGAGGGUUGCACUCAACCCCUUUCAAGUGAUCCGAUGAUCAACUUGAAUACCACGCUCUUUUACUUUAGAGUAUGUUUCCCGUUUGCGAGGAAUCUCCACAAUUUAGAGUCUCUCGCCCUUACAAUUGAGAUCACAAAGAAAGCACAGAGUAAGGUUGAGGAGAGCAACACACACACGACUUAAAUCCGCAGCACAACAACGCACACAAGUGAGAACGUGAGCACACAAACACAGCGCGAGGAGUUUACAACUCGAAUAGUGCUCAAAUCUCAAGAACGAUGAUCCAAUUGCGUGAAAGCGGAGUCUAGAUGUCUUAUGAUGUUUCUUGUAAGCUUGGUGUCCUCCUCCAUGCACCUAUGGGUCCCUUUUAUAGCCCCAAGGCAGCUAGGAGUCGUUGGUGGCCAACUUGGAAGGCCAAACUUGCCUUCUGUCGGGUGGUGCACCGGACAGUCACUGUAGCUAUCCGGUGCGCGAUUGCCUUCCAUAUCUGGCGCAUCCGACCGUUGGUCCUCGGGGUCGGUUGGCGCACUGGACACUGUCCGGUGCACACCGGACAGUCCGGUGUGCCCAACCGACCGUUGCUGCGGGCCACGUGUCGCCCGCAUAUCGCGCGGCCGACCAUUGGCUCACUGGACAGUCCACUGCACAACCGAACAGUCCGGUGAAAAUUAUAGCCGUACGCCUCUGCAUUUUCCCUAGAGCAGUCGGUUCAUCGCCGGCCAGCCUGGCGCACCGGACACUGUCCGGUGCACCACCGGACAGUCCGAUGUGCGUGGCCAGAGUUGGUGUUGGCUGCACACAGCCAACUCUUUUCCUUUUCUUUUCCUUUUCUUUUCCUCUUCUUUUGUCACUGUUUCUAGUACUUAGAUAAACACAUUAGUAUUCAAAAACAAUAUACUAAGUCUAGAAACAUACCUUUCUCUCUGAUUUGCACUUCUCACACAUUUUGCUCAUAAGUACUCAUUUAAUGUGUUGGGCAUCUAAUGACCAAAAUACUUAUAGAAAUGGCCCAAGGGCACAUUUCCUUUUCAGUCUUGCCCCCGGACGAUGGGCAAAUACGCUGUCAUUACGUCUUCUGUUGCCCCAGCAACCGAGUGGCGGUCGUGUAGACGGUCAACCAACCUCCCGGGUCCUGCUUAGGCUCGUACUUGUCGAUGUUGGAGACUUUGAAGUUAGUAGGCCACUGGAUGGCCCGGAGACACAGAGUAAGCGCGGAGACCUCGGGCAUGUGUCUUCUUGUUGGCGUUCAUGUUGUCGGUCCCGGGGAGGGGAGUUGGCGGUGUGUCGUCUCGACCGUCCUCGGUCGGGCCACUAGUUGAGGCCGCAGCUGACUCAGCUCGGCUAGUGCGACUUCGAGCCGGGACACCAUGGUCCCGGUCGUAUUUCUCCCGUGCCUUAUCUCAUUUUCGUGCCGUCGGUCGCGUGAAGUGUUUAUGGAGCUCCACGCGUCUCGUUGGCUGUUGAUGGCGUGGCAUAGGUCUCUUGGGGGUGAGCGAUGUGCAGAAGGUGAUUGGCUGCCCGAGUAAGCAGUCGUCGAUAGCCUCUUGCGUCUGGAGUUCGCGGGAGGCCAUCAGUUAUCUGGGCCAGCACCCCUCCAACUUCACUUGGCGUGUUCAUUGCGCGGGCGAAGUCGGGGUUCAGGUUUCGAGCAAAGAGAGGAUUCUCUCCGCGCAACCUUGCGCCUUGCUCGGCUUUCUCCCGCUCUCGGUCCUGAGCCUGUCGGCGAUCACGUCGGCGAGAAUUCCGUCUUUCUCGGUAUACUUGCUCAUCGGGAGUUUCUCCCACUUCUGAAACUUCAUUCCGAGAUACGGGCUGCGCUGGGUCCCGCUCCCCAACCUUGUGAUGUCGCCGAACAUUCUGGCGUCUGUUCCUUCGUCACCGUGCUUCACGCUGGGGAGGUUCUUCCCCUUGUAAGGUUGGCUCGUCAUCAGAGAUGGGAGACGACUCCAAUCUCCUCCCGAUGAAGAGGAUGUCGGGGUAGAAAGGAGCUACCGCGAUGGUGUGUUUCUUUCCGUCCUCCUUUGAGGGCGAAGGUGCCGGGAAGAUGACUCGGCAAGGUCCCGUUCCCUUUCUCGGGACGUCUGCCUCCUUCUUUCUAGUAAUCCGUGUACACGCCUUUGUGGGCGAGGUGGAUAGCGGAUUUUUUUGGGUAGGUAAACUCCUGAUUUUUGGUUUGUAAGAGGUAAUCUUCGCUUGGGGCGUGGGAGGUUGCGCCACCCGUUGUUCUACUCCAGGUUUCCUGGGGAUCUCCUAGGAAAACUUCUUCUCCGGCGGAUCUGCUAUGCGGUGCAGAGUUCCUUUCUAAUCUACUAUGGACGAGAUGGUUCCGAAGCAGAACACGGAUCCAGGGAGAAGAGCGAUCUUCCACUGGGAUGUGACGGCCAUUGAGCUAGCUUGGAUCAACGACACACCCCCUACCUGGCGCGCCAGCUAUCGGUGUUUAGUGCCCGACCGCACACCUAGGGUUACCCCUCGUGGUGCUUUUGGGUAGGACGGUGCUGUCGACUGUAGCUCAAUGGUUCGUGCUGGGUGCAUGACAGAUGGACAUGCAAUUUUCUACAGGUUCGGGCCGCCUUGAGAGGCGUAACACCCUACUUCCUACUGUGGAUCUUUAUGUGGUGGGUUACAAGUGGAGUCUCCUGGAUGGAGAACGGCUAAUGAGAUAAGUAGAUGGUCGAUGCAAAUGAUGGGGUACCCCUAGGCCUUAUAUACUCGACCGUGGGGCACUACAUGCGUACGUCAGGAUUAUGUGUACCCUAAAUAAUAGUGAACCGACUGAACUGAUCUUCCUACAUUCUUGCCGACUUAUCCCUAAUCCGUCCUGAUAUUCAAGGGCGCCGUGCAUGGGAAAGUCAGGUGGUUGCUGUGGAUAGCGCAUAAGCUGACGGGCCGCCCCGCUCUAAGUCAGCUUCCUCCUCAGGUUGGCCCAUUCCGCCAGUAGUUCUAGCCCGGCCCGCGAAGGGAAAACCUUGCAAGGCAACUGGCCUGAGGCCCCGCGUGAGGCCUUUUAGCCUUCUAGUGGACCCGGGGGAUAUCUGUCCCCCACUUGACCCUCAACAUAUAUUUACAGACAACCUAGAUUAUCAAGGCCUAUAUGGUCUUUUCUUCCUCUCCUUGGCUUGAACCGAAGCUACAUGGUAGCUUCGGCAAUUGGCAAUGUUGCUUCCACGUAAGGUCUUCGUCUUGAGAGCCUUCGGCAGAGGUAGAGAAGACCUCUGUAUCAUUUUGCCGAAGGUGUUUUUGUCUUGAGUACCUUCGGCGUAGGAGAAGACCCCCAACAGUCAUGCUUCAUAUUCUGUCCAUUCGCUACUUGUUCGUUAUAUUCCAAAACAUGCUUUCGUGCCUCCGACUGAUCCAUCGAAAGGUACUUCGGACGAUGGUACCUGAAAUAUUUAGAAAUAUACCAGAAAACAACCACUAUCUUAGGGUUUUGAGGACCUUCGUAAGAGGAAGGGCCCCAACACUUGGUAAUUACUUGGAAGGUACCACAUAGAACACAAUAACUAGUACUAUAUACACUCCUAUUCAACAACCGAGAACUAACUGUUGUACUCCUACUUUUAGUGCCUAUUAGAAGGGUGCGCGUCAAACUUCAACAAACUGGCAUACACUUUUCUAGGGACUGUCUGCGUUACUGAGUGGCGGGGCAAGCUAUUACCGUGUUGAUAAGUUUUCAUAAUUAGUGGCUUAAGUGAAGGUGUGAGGGAAACUACAUCGACGACGCAAUACAAAAUAUUGUUAUCGAUGAGGGCUUGUUCGGUUAGCACUCAAUCCAUGUGGAUUGAGUGGGAUUGGGUGGGUUUAAAUCCCAAGCAAGUCAAACUUCUUCUUAAUUUUUUCCAAUCCCAUUCAAUCCAUGGAUAACAGGUGUCGAGCUCCAAAAUGAGCGGCGGACGGUCCGGCCUUGAGGUCGGACGGUCCGUGAUCUGGACGGUCCACGCCUGUGGGCCGGACGGUCCGCGCGUGUGCAGAGCAGAUUAGGGUUCCGAGUUUUGUGCUAUGGUUGUUAGCUAGAUUCAUGGAAUUACCUCGGGAGAUUAGUUUGUAAAGGGUCCAACCCCCCUCCUCUAUAAAUAGAGAGGUAUACGACCGAUUUGUAAUCAUCAAUCGAAUCAAUAAUACUUCUAUCUCGCAUUUAUUUCCUGUACAAUUAGGAGUAGUUCUAGUUUAGCCUCUCAAUCCCCAAAUUCUUCGCUUCUCUUCGACUCUACGUCGAUUAGAGGAGUCUAGGUUGGCCUGCCCGAGCCUAGACAACUCCUAGGAUCUCUCCUCCCCGACGGGGUCCCUCCCGGGAGCGAGAUCCAGGCGUCGUCGGCGACCUUCCGCCGCCCCUGCGCACGAGCGGACCGUCCGGCCCCAGGGCGCGGACUGUCCGGCCGUCAGGCAGGAAACCCUAGCCUCGCGCCAGAUCGUGGACCGUCCGGCACCUAGCCGUGGACCGUCCGCCCCUGUGCAGAGAGCACCGCCACGGUUCGUGUUGAGUGAUUGGCGCCCGAAAAAGGUGUCAACAUACUUUUUGGCGACUCCACUGGGGAACGAUUUCAUACAGAUCUAUCGAGAUCGGCCCUCAAUGGCUGGUUCAAAGGAUAGCUGUGAAGUUUCCACCAGCAAUAUCAUCAAGCCGACAUGAGAAACCUUGCCGGCUGAAAAACAGCUCCUAUUCGAGGAGCGCCAGGAGCAGCUGAUCCAGGAAGCAAAGGCGAAAUUUCUGGCCGACUUCAAGGUGGACAGGAACAACAAAGUCGUUCGGCAACAGGCGAUAGAUCUUGCUUCGCUCCGACCUACUACGAAUACCCCAAUAUAAGUAGCACCAAUGAACUCCAAUAUCUUAAAGCUUACAUAGACGAACAGCGAGAGCAGAUGCAACGUAUCGUAGGGGAUAUACAAAAUGAUCAUAAAAGGCUAGUGCGUGCGCUUGUUAAGUCUACUAUUGCAACACGAGGUUGAACUGAGGGAAUACACACGUAAUUCAUCAGCUACAGGUUGUCACGAUCAGUCACAACCCCUUUAUGGGAUACGAUAGACAUGUACCUUGGGCAACAACAGCCUCCCUACCACAUCGGUGAUAAAUUUGCCGAUUUGCGCGUGUCCGGACCAUCCGCACGUGAGCGCGGAACGUCCGGGCCAGCGGCGGCUGAUCCCAUUUUAAGAAGUGAAUUACCAAGGCAUGCACCCAAGCCGCCACAUACCGUGCAAACCCUAGAUAACCCAUUCGGACCGUCCGCGUAUGGCGCCAGACAGUCCGAAUAUAACGCCAGACGGUCUGGCCACAUGGCUGGACAGUCCGCGCACAGACCGGAUGGUCCGCGUAUUUAACCGGACGGUCCGGCACAGAGUUUUUUUGAGGAGGAUGAAUAUCCAACUCCGCAUCCGUCCCAGGUAAACUCUCCAUCUCACCAUGCGACACACUAGCACCAUAAUAUAACCUACCAAACCUAUGAGAGUGAGUACUUUCCGGCCUCCAGAAGGCCAGAAAGGAAUGGCUAGUCCUAUGAGCCUCAUAGGGCAUGUAUUAACGCGCCACAAAACUCAAACCAAUGGGGAGGAAAACAACAUACCAACAUCCAAACAACCUCACCCAUAUUGGACCAAAGAGUCGGUGGUCUCCCACCGGCUGCCAUCGAUAUAGUAAGAGAGGAAAUAGCUGGGGCGUUCCGAGAUAAGCUCGGAGUUAGUAUAGUCCCCGGGGGGGCAGUCAUAUCGGAGACCUUAUGGUAGCCAUUUUGACCGUCUCCCAUACCCACAAGGGACCAGAAUACCCGAAUUCGCAAAGUUUUCGGUUGACCAAGGAAAGAGCACGCGUGAGCAUAUAAACCAGUUCUUAGCACAAUUAGGAGUAUUGGCCGACACCAAAGCAUUAUGUGUGCGUUUAUUUUCAUUAUCUUUAACAGGGACUGCAUUCACAUGGUAUGCCACGCUCCCUCCUAAUUCCAUUUUGUCAUGGGGAGACUUAGAACAAAAAAUUCAUGAACAUUUCUUCUCUGGCGAUUAUGAGCUAGAUUUAGUAGACUUAGUGGCCCUACGACAAGAAAAGGAUGAAUCAGUUAAUGAUUACAUCCGGAGAUUCCGGGGUACGAGAAACCGAUGUUUUCAAAUUCAUUUAACAGAUAAACAACUGGUGGGAUAGCCUUUGAUGGAUUGCGCUAUUAUUUAAAAGAGAAAUUAGAAGGCAUCCAGUUCUUUACGCUAGCACAAUUACAUCAGAAAGUUUUGGCUUGUGAAAGCCGAAGCAAAGAACUAGUCAAAAUGGUUCAUCAUAAUGUCUAUAUAGUAGAACACAAUCAAGGUAGUUCGGACGAUGAACCAAAGGAAGUUUACACUGCUAAAAUAGUUUGGUCUGAGUAGGCCAAACUGAGGCUUGCUCCUCCUUGCAGUCAGUUCAAAACAAACAACAGGAGGAGGUUAAGUUUACAUUUAAUGUCAGCAAAUGUGAUAAGAUAUUCGAUGAAUUACUAAAAAAUGGUAACAUUAAGAUCGAUUAUACCGUUCCACCCGCCGACGAACUAAAGUGUCGCGCAUAUUGCAAGUGGCACAACUCAUUUUACCAUACCACUAAUGACUGUAAUGUGUUCCGACGACAAAUCCAAUCGGCCAUUGACGAGGGACGAUUGAAAUUUCAGGAGGACAUGGAGUCCUUCCCAAUGAAUAUGAUCGACUUCAAGGGCAAAAGGGUCCUAAUUCGGCCCAGCACAGCCGAUAAGGGCAAAGACAAAGAAGACAUCAUCGGCAACGCACGGGAGGCCGAUGGAAACAAAAAAAAUCUCUUGCAGGAAAGUGGUGGCCGAGAAGACUCCUGAUGGAGGGGAGACACUGAAAGUGACCAUCACAACCUCCGGCUCAGGGGGGCAUGCGCAGACAAGGGGACAUGCGCGAAAACCAAUACCGUGCAUCGCGGACGGUCCGGUGUCCAGGCGCGGACGAUCCGUAACAUCGCCAGACGGUCCGGAUUGUUCUAUCGGACGGUCCGACAACGCCAAGGAGCCACGGCGACCACGUACCUUCAAACCACGACAACCAGAAAUAGGUACAUGGAAAACUAACACAUUCAAGGCAGCUGGUCGGUUGGUCAAACCUGACCUGACCUUUGAUCAAUCAUUAUCCAAGUAUGUGAAAAAGAAGGCCGGCCCCAGUGACCGGCCAGCAAGGCGACCUCGCUCGCCCAUUCAUGAGCAGCGUCAGGAAAGACCGAUUGGACCUCCUCACCAAUCAGAAAAAAUGGAAGGUCAUAUUAUCCAGUUGAGGCCUAACAUACCUGCAUGGACACCUCCACCCUCAUAUAUACCUAUGCCAUAUCCAUAUACAUACAUACCUCCACCAUAUGUCCCAAAUCAAAUGUGGGGCAUGUCAUCAUAUCCAUUUGGGAUGCCACAGUACCCUGCCUGGGGGCACCCCAAACAUCUGUUCUUGACAGGUUGACGCCUCUAGUACAAGACCGAUUGAGAGCCCCUCAAUCUGGUCCAUGAGCACAGGCCCAGCAAGAUUGUCGAACCACUCGGCCCCAAAGGCUGACUAAUCCGGCAGGGGGAUAUAUAGCUACGGCCUCCAACAGUACGAUAAAAGGGGACGUCAUUGAAGUAGGAACAACAGAUGUCAUCGUACAACAAAAUAACGAAGGGUCGAUGAUUUCUGGUAAAUCGGCCAACACAAACAAAAAAGAAGAUACGACUGUCAACAAAACGGCCGAUUCAAAAUACUCCAUGCCCGAUGGUGCCCAUCGGGAUUAACGCGAUCGCAAAAGCGAAAAUUAUAGCGCCUAAGAGCAAAGGAGAACCAGGAAAAGGAGGCGGAAAAAAUAUUCAAUGCCACACACCCGCAGUAUCCGCCACCACAAAAGAGAUGGAGACCAAAGGCCGUUGAUGAAAAUCAAACGGCCACAAAGACAGAAAAUAAAACAACAACUGUGCAGCUCUUUGCAGGUAUGGCAGACAGUCCGGCUAUAAAGACCGGACCAACCGUAUAGGGCGCGGACCGUACAACCCCUGAGGUCGGACUGUCCGCACUACACCAGGACACCUCCAACGACGUACCGACACCCAUGGAGGAAGAUGACCUACAAGGAGAAGACCUGGUCGACUACGGAGCUACGCCAGAGCACUCAGAAAAUUAGCAUGGUGACGAAUUGGUCAGGACCAAUAUGACGCUCGACGGUGUUGAGACUGACAGUUCGAUCAAUGCUAAAGGGGUCACGUCCGUUGAGUCAACCAUCGAGACCAAGGCCACUGUGUACCAUCCUAGUAAGUGGCAAGAUGACUAAAAAACCGAUGUGAUCACAUCGAGUUAGUUGAUUUUGGUUCGCUCAGCUCCACCAAAAAGGCAGGGGGCAUAUGUUGAGCUCCAAAAUGAGCGGCGGACGGUCCGCGCGUGCGCAGAGCAGAUUAGGGUCCCGAGUUUUGUGCUACGGUUGUUAGCUAGAUUCGCGGAAUUAGCUCGGGAGAUUAGUUUGUAAAGGGUACAGCCCCCCUCCUCUAUAAAUAGAGAGGUAUAUGGCCGAUUUGUAAUCAUCAAUCGAAUCAAUAAUACUUUUAUCUCGCAUUUAUUUCUUGUACAAUUAGGAGUAGUUCUAGUCUAGUUCUAGUUUAGCCUCUCAAUCCCCAAAUUCUCCGCUUCUCUUCGACUCUACGUCGAUUAGAGGAUUCUAGGUCGGCCUGCCCGAGUCUAGACAACUCUUAGAAUCUCUCCUACUCGACAGGGUCCCUCCCGGGAGCGAGAUCCAGGCGCCGCCGGCGACCUUCCGCUGCCCCUGCGCACGCGCGGACCGUCUGGCCGUCAGGCAGGAAACCCUAGCCUCGCGCCAGAUCCCAGACCGUCCAGCCCCUGGCCGCGGAUUGUCCGCCCCUGUGUAAAGAGCAUCGUCACGGUUCGUGUUGAGUGAUUGGCGCCUGAAAAAGGUGUCAACAACGGGAUUAACCGAACAAGACCUGAAGUGGUGUAACCUCAAUUACCUCAAUUCUUCCAACUCGUGAGUCCGAUUAGGCAAUAAUUCCGAGAUUGCUUCACCACGUAGUCGAUGCCACCAGAACACGUUAGAGAGCGCUCGUCGUUCCUAGAUCCGGGAUCAAAUUAAACUUGAGAUUAGUGUGCGGGGUUCGCCACCAGCGGCCGAAACGAUGACUGAAGCGACAACGACCUCCGCAGCGUAGCAUAAGUCCUAGACGUACCUGCACAGCGAGCAACAAGCGGCCUCCACCCCGGUGGAGCUUACGCCCGACGCAGUUGAAGACACCGAUCGACGGGGAGAAACGAAGGUUGAUGGCUCCGACAUGGUUCAAGACGCUGAUGGGGUGGAGCCUCAGCCCGACGAGGUAGGUGGCGUCGAUGUCGCUUGCGGCGGUGGGAGGUUGGACCCGACACAAGACUUCGGAGUGAGCGAGUGAAGUCUUCCGACAUGGGCCAAUGUGGUCCAUUUUCUGCGCGGGGGGUGGGAACAAAAACUGAAGCCGCUUCUUCCUUCCUACCACUAGUACAAAUAAGCUCAAAGCCUGCGGCACGUUCAACUUUUUACUGGCGGUUUUCGUUAUCAAACGUCAGUGAAAGAAACAGGUGGGCCCGGCUUUGAAAACCGCCAGUGGAAACCUAUUUUCACUGGCGGUUAUCUUAACACAACCGCCAGUGAAAAUAGGAUGUUUCCACUGGCGGUUGUGUUACACAAACCGCCAGUGAAAAUUGAUUUCCACUGGCGGUUAUCUUAAGAUAACCGCCAGUGGAAACAUCCUAUUUCCACUGGCGGUUUUUAAAGACAACCGCCAGUGGAAAUCCAUUUUCACUGGCGGUUUUUAAAGACAACCGCCAGUGAAGUGUCUGUUAUAAAUGCCCCUCUUCCCCCGACAGUGAACUGUAUGCUCGCAGCUAACUUCCAUUGGAGGCGAUUUUGGAGGUCCAGAAUUCACAAAAUACAUGGGGAGAGGUUUUGAUCUUCAUUUUUUGGAAGAAGAUUGCUAAGAAAGGUUGGUUUAUGUUGCUAAUGUCAAUUUUUAUUCAUUUUUGCUCAAUUUUAGCCACAUUUUGGAUCUAGGGUUUCACCAUUGGAGAGAGAGUGUAUCCUCUCUCAAUUUUAGCCACAUUUUUGCUCUAUUCGCUCAAAUAAAGUUGUUUAAUAUGGUUAGAUUUUGUCUAUCCUCUCUCCUUUUUCAUGUUUAGUUCUCAAAUCAGUUUAUCCAUGACAUAUUAAGUUGUUUAAUGAAUGGUUCAUGUGUUGUGUGGAGAGAGAAGAAGAUAGGUUUGAUAAUUAAGAUUGUUUUUAUUAGUUGCUAUGAAAGUUGGUUUAAUUAUGUUUUAAUUGCCAAUUAUUGUUUAUCUUUGCUCAAUUUUGGAACUAGGCCUUCACCAUGUGUUAAAGAGAAGAGUAUGGCUAGGAAAGUUUAGUUUUAUGUUCCUCUUGCCAAUUUUUGUUCAUUUUCCUUAAAUUUAGCCACAUUUUGGAUAUAGGGUUUCACCCAUUCAUCCUUCCCAACAGGUGGUGAUGGAGAGGACAUCCUGGAUGUAUAACUUAUCAAGGCUAGAUCCAUCAUACAUAUCCGAGGUCCAUAAGUUUAUUGAUGUCGCUACGAACCAUGCUUGGAGAACAAAGACAAAACACAUAUAUUGUCCAUGCAUGGACUGCAAAAAUGCUGUUGUAUUUAAUGACACAGAACAAAUCAUAUCUCAUCUGGUAUGCCGAGGAUUUAUGAAGGAUUACACAAUUUGGACAAAGCAUGGAGAGGGUAGCUCUUCGCCUUAUACGACUGGAAACCCUGAGAACAUCGACGACAGAUUUCAGUUCGUUCACGAGACACACCAACCUCUUCCACAGAGCGAACAUGUAGUGCAAAAUGUUACUGAUCAUGGUUACGCUCGAGGAAAUGAACAUGAUAGACCUCAUGUUCUGCCAAGUGUUAUGGAUGAGGAAGAUGCAGAGUUGCUAGAGGCAAUGUUGCGUCGUCAUACAGAUCAAUCGAUGUUCUUAAUGAAAGGUAUGGAGUCCCUGAAGAAGGCAGCAGAAGAGCCUUUGUACGACGAGUCUAAGGGUUGUACCAAAGAGUUCACGACGCUCCGGUCUGUGCUAAAGCUGUUGAUGUUAAAAGCUAAAUAUGGUGUGUCUGAUGCUGGCUUCGAUGCGUUCUUGAGUAUUAUCGCAGACAUGCUUCCAAAGGAGAACAAUGUGCCUGCUAACACGUACUAUGCAAAGAAACUAAUCAGUCCGCUCACUAUGGGUGUGGAGAAGAUCCACGCGUGUAGAAAUCACUGUAUCCUUUAUCGAGGUGAUGAUUAUAAAGACUUGGAGAGCUGCCCAAAGUGCGGUGCAAGUAGGUACAAGACGAAUAAAGACUAUCGAGAGGACGAAGAGUGUGUUGCAUCCGUGUCUAAAGGGAAGAAGCGAAAGAAAGCCCAAAAAAAGACUUCAAAAUCCACGAGCAAAGAAAAAGAAGUAGACUAUUAUGCGCUCAAAAAGAUUCCUGCUUUGGUGAUGUGGUACCUCCCCGUCGUCGAUCGAUUGAGGUGUUUGUUCGCUAAUCCUGAGGAUGCCAGACUUAUGAGCUGGCAUGCUUCUGAUGAGCACAAAAACGAUGGGAAGCUUCGACAUCCAGCCGAUGGGAAGCAGUGGCAAGAUUUCAAUGACAACCACCGAGACUUUGCCGAUGAACCGAGAAAUGUUAGGUUCGCACUGAGUACUGAUGGAAUGAACCCAUUUGCUGAGAGGAGCAGCAAGCAUAGCACAUGGCCGGUGAUCCUCACCAUAUACAACCUUCCUCCAUGGUUGAUGCAGAAACGGAAGUACAUUUUGCUAACCAUCCUUAUUUCUGGACCUACACAACCUGGAGUUGACAUGGAUGUAUUUUUGGAGCCCUUAAUGGAGGAUAUGAAAAUAUUGUGGGAAACAGGUGUUCAAAUGUUGGAUGAGUAUCGUAAAGGUUCAUUCACGCUGAGAGCAAUUCUUUUUGUUACGAUCAACGAUUACCCUGCUCUCUUCACAUUAUCAGGCCAGUUUAAGGGAAAGGUUGGUUGCACAGUAUGCAUUGAUGGAACUGCUUACGUAUCCCUUGCUGCAUCUAGGAAGAUAGUUUACAUGAGGCACAGACGCUUUUUAUUGGAAGGACACAGGUACCGCAUGCGAAAGAUGGAUAAGUACUUCGACAAUAAUGGUGAACUACAUUCUACUGCUCCAUCGGGUAACAAUAGAGGUCAUAGAGUUUUUGAAAUAGUCAGGAAUAUCAAGUUUGUUUUCGGGAAGAAGACAAAAGACGGAAAAACAAGGAAGGAUGUCAAACCAGCUUCGGGGGCUAUAUUCAAGAAGAAGUCUAUUUUCUUCGAGUACUUGCCUUACUGGAAAGAGUUAGAUGUGCGGCAUGCGAUCGAUGGUAUGCACGUUCAGAAGAACGUGUUUGAAAGCAUAAUGGGCACCUUGCUAGACAUAAAGGGCAAAACAAAAGAAGGGCUCAAUUCACGCAUGGACUUGGUAGAUUUAGGCAUAAAAAAGGAACUACAUCCCGUUCUUCAAGAAAAUGGGAAGUACCAUCUCCCAGCAGCAAGCUACAAUCUCAAUGUAGAUGAGAAACAUGCGAUGUGUGUUUGGCUUAAGAAUUUGAAAGUCCCAUCCGGAUUCUGCUCUAGCAUACGGAGUAUUGUGUCAAUGAAAGACCUGACAAUCACCAACUACAACUCACAUGAUUGUCAUGUCAUGCUGACUACAUUCCUACCUAUUGCCAUCAGGGCUAUAAAUCCUUUGUUUUUAAAGAUGGCAAUCACACGGUUGUGCUACUUUUUCAACAGGAUUUCACAAAAGGUAAUUGGCCGUGAUGAGUUGGCAUCUCUUCAGGAAUUCGCAGUGGAGACAAUAUCACAGUUUGAGAUGUGUUUCCCUCCAUCGUUCUUUGAUAUUAUGGUGCACCUUGUGGUGCACUUGGUGCCACAAAUAGAGGCAUUGGGUCCUAUGUACUUGCAUGAAAUGUGGACGUAUGAGCGUUUCAUGUCAAUACUGAAUGGCUAUGUAUCAACCCGUGCUCGUCCUGAGGCAUCCAUGAUAGAGGGGUACUGUACCGAAGAGGCCAUUGAGUCCGGAGGUCCAUUCUGCAAUAGUAUCCUAAAAGACCAGGUUGCAAUAGGUCUGCCUCCGUCACGACACGAGGGUAGACUGUAUGGAAGCGGGAGGAUGGGACGGAAAUCUUUCAUCCCACCGGAUUACGAUAUAGUACUUGAGGCACAUCAGAGCAUCCUACAUCAGCUAACGAUAAUGGAGCCAUUUAUCCAACAACACAUCAAUGAGCUUCGCGAGCAAAAUCCUGUGCAUACGGAUGAUUGGGUAAUGAAGCAACAUAAGCAGCGAUUCAACACAUGGCUAAUGGUGAAGGACAUUCCACGUGGAGAAACAAUAGAAGAACAAACCAUCAAGGGCUUGGCAUCUGGACCAUCACGCCAGGUCACAACAUGGCAAACCUAUGACAUUAGUGGAUUCACAUUUUGUACCAAGUCCAAGGACAAAAAGAGCAUGUCACAAAACAGUGGUGUUCGAUGCGAGGCCAUAGAUGAUGAAACUGGUGAGAUUAUAACAUAUUUUGGCUUUAUUGAGGACAUAUGGGAACUAGACUAUGGUACAUUUCAGAUCUCGGUUUUCCGAUGUCAAUGGGUUGAAGACAAACAUGUCACGGUAGACAACUAUGGGGUCAGAGUUCUUGAUCUAAGUAAGGUAGGUUACAAAGAUGACCCAUGGAUCCUUGCUAAUCGUGCUGCACAGGUCUUCUAUGCUGAACAGAUCAUUUCUAACAAUGAGAAGAAAAGCACCGACAAACCGAAGCAUGUAGUUUUUCCUGGAAAACAACAAGCUAUAGGAGUUGAUGGUGUAUCUGAUUUAGAGGAUUUUAACCAGUUCAACGACAUGUCUCUUUUCAUAGACCAUCCAACCAAGAUAAGGAACGUUGAGCGAAGCAUCCCACGCAAUUCGUUGCCCUGGGUACGCCACGAUGGACAAGGCAGAACAAUAGCUUCCUAGAUUAUAUACUUGUCAUGUAAUUGAUUAUUGUUAGGAACUUGUCAUGUAAUUGAUUAUUGUCAGCGACAAACCGAAGCAUGUAAUUGUCUUCAUUCAAUUUUCGUGGCUACCAUUUACAAUUUUACAUGACUUUCUAUUGACUUUAUAGAGAGAGGAGAGGGAGAGAGAGAGGAGAGAGAGGAGAGGGAGAGGAGAGAGAGGAUGGAGAGAGAGGAGAGAGAUAGGAUGGAGAGAGAGGAGAGAGAGAGGGGAUGGAGAGAGAGGAUGGAGAGGGAGAGGGGAGAGAGAGUGGAGAGGAGAUAGAGGAUGGAGAGGGAGAGGGAAGAGAGAGUGGAGAGGAGAGAGAGGAUGGAAAGAGAGGAGAGGAUGGAAAAAGUAAAACAAUAUAUAAAAGUAUACUUAAUAUAAUAUAUAAAAAGUGAAGUAAAACAAUAUAUAAAAAACUAUGUUAAAUAAUAAUAAAAAACAAUUUCUACUGGCGGUUGUCAUAGAGAACCGCCAGUAGAAAUGGUUUCCACAGACUGUAGAAUCCAUUUCUACUGGCGGUUCUCUAUGACAACCGCCAGUAGAAAUGGUUUCUACUGGCGGUUCUCGUUGUCAACCGCCAGUAGAAAUGGCUUCUACAGUCUGUGGAAACCAUUUCUACUGGCGGUUCUCGUUAUCAACCGCCAGUAGAAAUGGCGCCUAUAUAAAGGUGGCGCGCGGGAGCCGAAAAUUUUACAAGUCCCUGGCGCCCUUUCACUUGAAGACGACGCCGUCAGGCUGCUGGAUUUCGACCCCGAGGGUUUUCGCCGGCGAUCGUCCCCGCGCCCGUCCCCACACCGCCAUUCCCGCCCCCGCACCGCCGUCUCCAGGUUUUUUCUCUUUCCCCUAAUCUGUACCGCCGCCGUCUACUACCGCGCCGGGCCGCCGCCGCCGCGCGCCGCCGCGUUUUAGUAAAACCUAGGGCACGCGCCGCCGCCGAGAGGGAGGAAGAGAGAUGAAGGAGAGGGAGAGGGAAGAGAGAGGAGGGAGAGGGAGAGGGAGGAGAGAGGAGGGCGCACGCCUCGCCCGCCGCCGAGAGGGAGGAAGAGAGAGGAAGAGAGAGGGAGAGAGAUAGAGGGAGGGAGAGGAGGGUGAGAGAGAGAGAGGAAUUUUAUACAUUGUAAUUUUAUGUGUUCAAAUGUAUGUUGAAUUCAUAUGUGUUCAAAUGUAUGUUGAAAUGUAUGUUGAAAUGUAUGGUGAGAGAGAUAGAGGGAGGGAGAGGAGGGUGAGAGAGGGAGAGGAGGGUGAGAGAGAGAGAGGAAUUUUAUACAUUGUAAUUUUAUGUGUUCAAAUGUAUGUUGAAUUCAUAUGUGUUCAAAUGUAUGUUGAAUAUAUACAUUGUAAUUUUAUCCGUCACAACUCGAUAAUAUACGUAUCCGAUCCGAUCCGAAUUCGAUCUGAACUCGAUAAUUUCCGUACGACUCUCCCUCUCUCCCUCUCUAUACGUCCUAUGCGACUCUCCCUCUCUCCCUCUCCUCGUCCUAUGCGACUCUCCCUCUCUCCCUCUCUCCCCGUCCUACACGAUACUAUACGACUAUACGAUACUAUAUGGUUAGGGUUUAGGGUUAUGGUUAGGGUUAAGGUUAGGGUUAAGGGUUAUAGUUAGGGUUAGGGUUAAGGGUUAGGGUUAGGGUUAGGGUUAGGGUUAGGGUUAGGGUUAAGGGUUAUAGUUAGGGUUAAGGGUUAUGGUUAGGGUUAAGGUUAGGGUUAAGGGUUAUAGUUAGGGUUAGGGUUAAGGGUUAGGGUUAGGGUUAGGGUUAAGGGUUCGAGUUUUGGGUUAAGGGUUCGGGUUUUGGGUUAAGGGUUCGGGUUUUGGGUUUAGGGUUAGGGUUAGGGUUAGGGUUAGGGUUAGGGUUUUGGGUCAGGGUUAGAGUUAGGGUUAGGGUUAGGGUUAAGGGUUCGGAUUUUGGGUUAAGGGUUCGGGUUAGGGUUAUGGUUAGGGUUAAGGUUAGGGUUAAGGGUUAUAGUUAGGGUUAGGGUUAAGGGUUAGGGUUAGGGUUAGGGUUAAGGGUUCGAGUUUUGGGUUAAGGGUUCGGGUUUUGGGUUAAGGGUUCGGGUUUUGGGUUAGGGUUAGGGUUAAGGUUAGGGUUAAGGGUUAUAGUUAGGGUUAGGGUUAAGGGUUAGGGUUAGGGUUAGGGUUAGGGUUAAGGGUUCGGGUUUUGGGUUAAGGGUUCGGGUUUUGGGUUAGGGUUAGGGUUAGGGUUAGGGUUUUGGGUUAGGGUUAGGGUUAGGGUUAAGGGUUUAGUGCCCGCGAGGAUGUAUUUAAUUAUACUAUUUGUUAAUAUGAAUUUAAUUAUUGCUUACGUUAAUAUGUGUUAAUAUGUAUUUAAUUAUUGCCUAUGUAUUUGUAUAUAUAUAGCUCAAUGAGUUCUCCGAUCAAGGACCAAGGAUUAGUGCCCGAGCACAUGGACAAGAGUGUUGCUCAAGAACAAUCCAGCAGUGAAGGAUAUGAAACGCCUAGCGACCCUUUUCCUACCACUAGCAUAGAUAGGGCCGCUCUCCGUGAGUUGCAACGUGACCCUACUUAUGAUCCACGAGAAGCUGAGGUAAAAGUACGCAUCUUUAGCUUCGUAUGUGUACCCUACUGAUUUCACAUGCAUGAUCUCUUGUGCAUUUUAUUACAUGAAUAGGAGGUCGUGUCUGAAUUUCGUGCGAUACUCGAAGAAGCCGUGGCACGAUACGAAGACGUACCAGAGCCGACCCAAGACGCACCGGAACAGACCAAGACAACAACCGAGACAUCAAGGAAAAGGAAGCAGAGCGAUCGAAAAAGAGGUGACAGGGGGCUGAACAAAUUUCCCGACAAAACAUACAAAAUCUCAGACGUGAGCCCGAAAGGUCAGCCCCUAGCUCCAGAAGAGGCACUACCUAAGUUUCGGAAUGCACUUGGGUUUUUAGUUAGAGAUAAUCUUGACAUAACAAUACGACAGUGGAGAGAUGUGUCAGAUGAUGUCAAGAAUCAAAUAUGGAAUAAGCUAUUAAUGAGGUUCGUUCUGCCUCGGGGUUCAGAAGAACUCGUGAAGGAAUACACGAUGAAGCAGCUUGCAAUAAAUUUCCGAAACUGGAGGUCUGAGAUGAACACAAAGUUUACAAAGAAAGGUCUGGACCCGACCAAAAAAUAUAAAAUCUCAGCAGGUCAGUGGGCAGUAUUUCUAGAGCAGAGGAGCAGCCCUGAUUUCAUAUCUCUAAGUGAGGCAAAUUCAGAACUAUCAAAGAAGAACAAGUACCGCCACCACCUAGGCACAGGUGGUUACAAGCGUCAGGUUCCUAAAUGGACACAAGAAGACGCCGAGAAGAAGGCUGCAGGGUUGCCGACGCUGUCCGAGCAACUUGGUGAAAGGGCGGCAAAUUGGCUCCGUGCUAGAAAACCAAGGGAAACCGAGACCGGUGUAUCUUUUGAUGAUCCCAUUGUCGAAGAAGCGGCAAAAAACAUAUAUACAAUGGCAGCUAAGCAGAGCGAAGGAACUUUUAAGCCACAAAGGGAAAGAGACAUCCUAACGGCUGGUCUCGGUAUCCCUGAGCAUCCUGGUCGUGUACGAGGAAUCUCGUCUAAGGAAGGAUGGAAGGAAGGAUUCGGACCACAGUGGGAAGGUCUGUACAAGAAACGUGAUCGAUACAAGGAAGAGAUCGCGGAUUAUUUUAAGGAGGAGGCCAAGAAAGAGUUCAAAGCCAUGAUGUCUCAAAUGCUAUCGAAUCCUCCUCCAGAAUUGAUGCAACAGUUGGCGAGUGCGAUGUCUGUUCAACAGAUGACCACUCCACAGAUACAAAUAAUUCCAGCAGCUCAACCGCCGGCUUCCACAGAUUGUACGACAUUACCAAGCUCUGUUGCUUCAACGGGAAAUAAGGACCGUUAUCCAGUUGAUGACAUCACAAGGCCUGUGGCGUGCACACUGGUUAUAAGAUAUGGUAUUAACAAUAAACGUACAAAGAUAGUAGCCACAGGCCUUGCGAUCCCAGGACGCAAGUUCCAUGGAAACGAUAUUCCAGAUGAUUAUUGCAAAGUAGAAGUGACGACGGUCGUCCAAGGAUGCGAGGACGACAUGUUAGACAUCCCUGGGCCCGAAGGUAUCGAGAAACUUGGACAAGCUAUCAAGAAUUUUAUCCUUUGGCCUCGAAGGGAUGUCGAAUUGCUUGAUUGGUCGAAUUCGUCGCAGGCGUCGCAGGCCCAACCGUCUCCGCCUUCUCAAAUUGUUGUUCCUAUUGUACAUCCAUCCUCACCUCCUCAAACUUCACAUGCUGCUCCUCAUCCUUUUUCUGACCCACCGUCUCCGCCACAAGCAUCACCAUUCAGGGCUCCACCACCUUCUCCUCCCCAUCCUCUUGGUGACCCACUGUCUACGCCACCAUCAAGGGAUCCACCUUCUCCACAGCCAUCAAACGAUCCACGGCCAUCAAAGAAAUCUAAACUUCCUAUACCAAAAUUGGUGUCCCCGUAUCAGAAAAAGAAGAGUAAAGCUACUACUGCUGGCACAGUUCGGUUUUUGAAAGGGAUUGGACGGAGCCUCACGUCACAAACUGUUGAUUUGGCCGAGCACGAGGAGUCUGCAAAAAAGGCUGAGGCAACGGCCGCAAAGAUAAAGAAGCCAACUAAGGCAGAUUACAAAAACGUGCCUAAAAAAUACGUGCCGGGCAGACCUCUGCUACCUCUUGACAAACUAAGGAAGGUCCCGGCUGGUGUUAAAAGGUUGCAUGACUGGUACAUGCGGGCAUCAUCGGUUGGCAUCGACACCAUCAGUGUGCAUAUACCAGACCAUGCUUUUAUUGGUUCGAACCAAAAGGCCGUUGUUACAUUCGAGGACAUGUGGUUAAUGAUGAACCUUCAGAGACUCGACGUGCAACUUGUAACGAUGUUUGCAUUGUAAGUGUCGCUCAUACUUCCACAUAUGUGUGUUAUUAUUAGUGAGCUGUAUAAAAUUUCAAUAUCUGACAUGCACGUGUGACUUGCAGAAUGCAACAUGAUCAGCAGGAGAUUCUUUACGGUACCAAGCCCAAUGCUAGUGCCAGUAAAAGGGUUGGGUAUCUCAACCCAAUACUUAUAUCCGAGGAAAGCCACACUUUUAGAAUUGGGAAAGACAACGAUGAAAUACGGGGAAAGACGGACGAAGAAGUUGAGAAGCGUAUAAAGGAUAUGAAGAAGGAUUUUGAAGCUCGAUACGCCACAUACAUAGGACAUGCAAUGCUUCAAUUUCAAGACAGGGAAGCCAUAAUGGCCCCGUACAACUUUAAGUAAGUGUGAUUUUGCAUAAAUAAAAUUAAUAAUUUCAAUACACAUGCAUCACAAAUUUGAUUCGUACAGGGACCACUGGAUAUGCUUUCUCAUUUAUCCUAAGGUUGGAAAGGUGCUGGUGCUCGACUCCUUGAACUUCGACCCUUCGACAUAUGCAACAUUCCUCAGCAUCUUAGAGCUGUAAGCCUUUUCUAUGCAUGCAUACUUUUAUCGAUUAAAAUUUGAGAAUAACAUGGUGAUUCUAUUUGAGAUCACAGUGCUUAUAGAUUCUAUAAGAUGAGAGGUGGAAAGUACGACCUGUCGAAAAAACUCGUGCCACUAGACAUCCAUCAUCACUGGCCGGUAAGUAUGUGAUUUUAUGAAUACAUAUCAUACACAAUGUUGCAACUAAAUAACCAAUCUCCCGUUAUGUAGUGCCACAAGCAACCACAAGGAUCGGUCCUAUGUGGAUUCUAUGCGUGCGAGUUCAUGAGAGUGAACGGACGAUACAUCACGAACCCUGACAAGGUAUUAUUAGUAAUAGUUAAGUAUGUAUUUAUGUCAUUAAAGAUGCAAAUGUGUUAUUAUUGAGUAUAAAUAGAUGAUGUUUAUAAAAUUCCUUUACAACAAUUUCAACGAGGAAACCCGGAGAACUUGACCGAAGCUGCAUUGUAUGGCAUAGUCGAGGACCUCUGCACAUUCAUAUUGAAAGAGGUCAUUCCCGCAGAAGGAAAAUAUCACGAUGCUUCCGGGACAUUAGCUUUGCCAGAGUUCAGAAUACUAACAGAAAUUAGUAGAUUAUCUCUUAGCCGAGAUAGUUAUUAGAGCUUAGGUGAAAACUUAUGAUGUAUAGAAUGCAUGAAGCAUAUAUGGUUGUAAACAGAAUACUUUGAUGUAUAUAAAUGUAUGAUAGAAUUUAAUUUCAUGUUGCUUUCAAUAUCAAUAUAGAUAUAUAUAUAUAUAUAUAUGUUUGUGUGUGUGUAAAUAAAUAUAUAUAUAAUUCAGUAUUGUUUGAAAUUUUGAAAAAAGGCGGGAAAACUUCCACUGGCGGUUUUAUAAAGAAAACCGCCAGUGAAAAGUGCAUUUCCACUGGCGGUUUGCUUUAUAAAACCGCCAGUGUAAAUGCAUUUCCACUGGCGGUUUUCUUUAUUCAGCCGCCAGUGGAAAUGCACUUUUCACUGGCGGUUCGUUAAGAAAACCGCCAGUGAAAAUGCACUUUUCACUGGCGGUUCCAAAAUAACCGCCAGUGGAAAUGCUGAUUUCCACUGACCCCUAGCACUGGCGGUACUAAAAAACGCCAGUGUAAAUAUGUAUAGAACCGCCACUAUAGAGCUUCUGUGUACUAGUGUACAUCCGUAUACGGAACCGUUCCUACAGCAUGCUAGGACGUGGCACGCUUCGCGCCUCCGCAUCCACGAGCGGGCCUCUCUGUAGUAUACGGACACAAAGCCAAGCCUUGUUGGAGUGGGUCUUAGGGUUGUUUUUCAAGUAGCUGGCUGUUUUUUUCAGUAAAACUUUAGGGCUAUCUGAAACUUCGAUUUUGACUGUCUGCUUUUAAAACUUGAAAAAAAUGUAACUUUCUAUUUUCAAAAUAAGUGAAAUAAAUAAUUGUCCGUGUCAUCAGGGUUUCAUGCAUGUAUUGGGUCAGAGUUCCAGUGUGACCUAUGGCUAGUCUUACCUGGGUUGGAGCUUGGAGCUAGUUGACACUAGGUUACAAGAGGUGAGUUGUAAUAUAUGCUGCUGUUGCAAACUCCUCUUGUUGUCAUAGUGAGAGGAGAGGAUUCAUGGUGAUGAGUCUCGUGACACCCCCAAACUCACAGUGUAGUGAGGUUAGCAUGCAUGGCUGUUGGCUGAUGGGUGUGCAUCGAAUCAAUUAGCAUAUACUUGACGAUCUGUCCGAGCUUGCCGAGGUCAUUGCAGUUGGGGCAGACGAUUUGGGUCCGGUCCUUCCUCGCUGUGUUUGUGUCAUUGUGUGAGAAGAGUAUGGGCGAAGCUCGUGUCCACGAGCGCGAUGGCCACCGCCCACCGAGCCGACGACAAGAUACGUGUUGCCCUUUGCCACGACAUCGCCAUGAGCUUGCAUGUAUCUGACUAUCUUGUCCAUGUCUAUAGAUGGCCAAACGGGUGGCAUAGCAUGACCCGGCUCGAGCACCAUCACAGGCAUAGCAGGCAUGAACCCAAUAGGUAGAUUACUUAGUCAUGACGUGCGGUGCCACCCAACGUGCCUAGACCAAGGCAUGAGCAUGACCCGGUUAAAGCUUAGGUCAGUCGUACCGGCACGUUGGCCCGUUGGGCACGCUAGCCCGCCAGGCAGUCUUGGCCCGCUUGGCACGCCAUGGACAGAAAACACGGCCUGUGUUACACUUACAUAGGCAUCAUCACGUUAUCAUAACAGAACAUAUAUAUAUAUAUAUAUAUAUAUAUAUAUAUAUAUAUAUAUAUAUAUAUAUAUAUAUAUAUAUAUAUAUAUCAACUGAGUUGUGCGAUGGCUGCCUCAUUAAAAACUUAUGUAGGUAAAACUCACACCUCGUGAGAAACCCUAGAUAGAAAAAUAGUACAACCUAGCGCUACUAUUUAAAUUAAGUUUCAAUGUUCAUAAGUGUUAAGUUCAACACAACUGCAGGAAACUCAAGGAAGAUACAAAUUACAUAGGCACAAAGGACUAAUCACAGCCACACAGGGCUCAAUCAAUAUAGAGAUCUUCAAAGAACUAGGAUUGGGCUUUGUCAUCAGUAGUGUGAUGCAGUCUGGCAUCUGUGGCCUCCCAAUCCUUAACCAAUUAAAGAAUCUCCACUAUGCCAGAUCCCAGACGACAAUGACAUCCUUCAAUUAUCUUGCCCACAAGGAUUAAUGCAGAUUCGGAACUCAUAGUUGAGACAGGUAUAGAUAAAAUGUCUCUAGCUAAGAUAGAAAGAAUAGGAUAUGUGAGUUUAUGAUCAUGCCACCAGUCUAGAAUGUUGAAAUCAUCGUCAAACUUUUGGACAGUGUCACUGUCCAGGUAAGAUGAGAGUUCAGAACAAACAAUAUUAGGAGGAGUGCUUGCUGCAUGAAGCAAAGCACUAGCAGAUGAGAAUCUAGAUAGAGAGGGGUUGGAGGGUCUAGAACCAAAAUCAGAUCCAACACCAAGUCCCAUUUAAUUGGCACUAGAGCAUUCUAGGCCAGAGCCAAACACCAAGUCCCAGGCAUACUUACUCUUACCUCUAGCAGGGGCAGCAUUUGAAGGUCUCUGUAUCCUCACAAUAGUAAACUUGUUAUCAUAUUUGUUAAACAAAUCAACUAUUCAAGUAAGGAGAGUAAUCAGUAGAAGUGAUUUGAGCCAACAGAACAAGCACAUUGUUAAAACCUCUCAACUUAGCUCUAGGGUCCAAUAUGAAUGCAAAUGCAUAAAGCACAGGUAUGUCUCCCCGACAUUUUAAGAACUUUUUUUUCAUGGGGACAACAACAGGUCUGAGAAAAUUGUUAUUCUCAUACGCAUUCAUGUGUUUAUGCAUGUGAAGAAUGUGGUGCGACAUCAAAGGUGACGUAGGGUAGUAAACACUAGACAUGACAACAGUGGAAUCAUAAAAUCUUUCAAGAAACUCCAAAAUCUUUUCACCAACAUACCAAUGAGCUUAAGUUAAAAGUGGACCCUCAACCCUUGUAGGAUAGUGAGUAUAUAUGAAUACAGAAAAUGUGCUCUUGUAUGGUAUGGCAUGCUUCAACAUAAGAUAGGUUGAGUUCCAUCUAACAUCCAUAUCCAAACCAAAUUUACGAGGACGUACACCCAAUGCAACACAAAAACUUUUAUAUGCAGCAAUCUUUUGAUUAGAUGAAUUUAGAAAAGAAAUGAAACUUCUAAAAUCUUCUAAGUAGGGUUUAAGCACUUCAAAUGUUGCAUGCGCAACAAGAUUGAUCAUAUGGCAUGCACAUCGUUGAUACAACAACAGAUGACCAACAUAACCAGAAAUCAAUGGAGAGAGUAUAUCCAUUGCUUUGGAGUUAGCUGAGGCACUAUCCGAAGUAAUGGAGAAAACCUUAUUAGUCAAGUCAUACUCUUCAAGAACAGAUUUAAUGCGUUCAAUAAUGUUUUCGCCAGAAUGGGAAACAUCAAUUAGUCUCAAUACAAUAAUCCUUUUCUAUAGUUGUCAGUCAGAAUUAACAAAAUGCGCAACUAUAGAAAGAUAAUCUUCCUUAACAUUGUCAUUCCAAAUAUUAGGGGUCAAAGCAACAGAAGAUGCAGAUUUCAACUUCUCAACAAUUUUAGCAUGUUGUUUAUAAAUACUUUUCCGUAUCCCUAGUUGUUGUUUGUCUAGAAACAUUAGAAUGCCUAGGAUUAUUGUAACGCCCUGAAUUUGGGGGUAGAAUUUUUUUUCUUCUUUUCUCUCACCAAAUUCAGGUGUUACUCUUUCCUUUUUCCAUUUUCUUCUCGCUAAGCCUUGAUCUUUUCUAAAAGUUAUAGCGAGAAUUAGCUCGACAUCUUGUGUAACCAAAACCUAGAACUAUUUUUGGUUGUUGCAUCAUGCCAGAUUAUGCACUCUUUUGUUUGUGGUUGAGUGAAUUGAAGAGUUAGGCAUAUAAGGAAUUAGGGAAAUUAGAAAAAGAAAAGCCUUUUCUUUUUCUCUCCCCCCCUUUCUCUCUUUUGGCCCAGCCGCCCCCUUCCCCUUCGCGCCGGCCCAGUUGGCGGCCCAGCCGCCCCCCCCUUCCCCCCCCCCCCCGCCGUGGGCCGUUCCGGCCGGCCCACCCCGCGCCCACCCCCUUUAGGCCCAGUCGGCCCAACCGCCCCUCCCCCCCCCUUUUUUCUUUUUCCAAAAUUCCCUCCCCGCGGGCCCCGCCCGUCAUCCCCUCCCCCUCCCCCAACUCUCUCUCUCCCCUAACCCUAGCCGCCGACGCCCCUUCCCCCGGCGACGCCGCCGCCGCGCCGCCCCCUCCGGUGAGCCCCCCUCCC
rnacentral:lncRNA from 1 species